CUCGUACUGAGGUGGAGCAAAUGCAGACAGAUUUCUUUUCUAGCUAUAAGCUCAGAACAAGUGAACUUCUAUAAAGCACUCAGAAUCUCAGCAGACCAUUCACCAGACAACAACCCAGCUGGCUUCUUAAUCUUCACUAUAUACAGGAUGCAAACAUUGCUGGGAAAAUUAAAUCCAAGCCAGGUUUAGAAACCAUUAAGGCUACUCGUUCUUUUGGGACAGGAGGCUUUAUUAAAAAGAUUUGGAAAAAGACACUGUAUUAUCCAGAUAACCCAGCAGAGUAAUUGCGUUUUCAUUGAAAACAAGAAAAGUUUUCUUCAGACAUGCCAUUGGAGUUUAUUAUAACAGAUCCUGGAGUCCACAGUUGUUUUGGAAAACAGCUCAGACGAAUGAGCAUGUGUUCGGAAAGGUAAAUAUGUUAUAAGGCAUCAUUUGUGUUGUUUGUUUGUAAAACGCUAGUGUAAUCUGUAUUGUUGUCCUGAUCUAUUCUUCAUCGCAUAACUCCCCUUUGGGUUCCAAUUAUAGUUUUUAUAGGCUACAAGGGUUAUUAGUCAUUAGUAGCAUUUCUUUAUCAUUAUAAUUCUCAAUGGUAAGUGUCAAAGUACAAAGGGUUUGAUCCUAAGACUUGUACGAAGAGCUUGCAAUCGGUCAAAUUCCAGGUGAGUGGAAUUAGCAAAUAGAUAAUGUAUUCAUUUUGUCAUGUAUGAUUUGUACAUAGAAAUGAAGGAUGGUGUGUUAAAUGUUGAUAUAAGGGAAGAGAGCAAGGUUGCUCCUAAAUGUUUUUUAUAUAAUCCGUUCUAAAGACAAUGGCUUCAAAAAGGCAUAGCAACAAAUUUUAAGGACAAUCACUGUGGAAAGCUCUGACAUCUUAAAAUCUACAUUUUAGAAGAAAAAAGAUAAUGAUUGAGACUUUCAAAUACAUGUAAAAUAAAUAUUUUAAAUGUAAGUAUUUUUUUAGAAAAAAGAGAAGAACAAGGGGGUAUGUUGGGAAGGAAGACUGUGAAGUACAUGCAAGAAAAAAAUGUUAUGGAAAGAAUAGUAGAUACCUGGUAUUGAGACUCAGUGGAGGUGGUAAACAUUAACACAGUUUAUGUUUUUAAUACUUGAUAUAUGCAUAUCGCUAUUCUGAACAAUAAGUAAGCGGAAUCAGUUUGAUUAUUCAUAGUCAAGACGCAAUAGACUAUCUGUUGCCACAAGACACAUUUCUAUGUUUUAAAUGAGGACUUCAAUACAGUACAUCUUUGAAACUUUGUAAUGUCCAUUUUGCUGUUCAGAACUCCAACAGUUUCACCGAUUUAAUAUUACUUAAUAAUUUAUUGACUGCUUAAAAGCUUGAAACUAUUCCAACAGGCUGAUUUAUGGUAUAAUGAAAUCCUUACAAAACAAUUUACAAUACCAGGGGAGAGUUAUCAAGGCUAAACAUGUGCUAUUGCAGGUGCAAAGUGCUACAUGUUUAGAGACAUUCUACUGGUUUCCAUGGCGAUUGUUCCUUAUAUAGCAGCUUGCCCCAGAACAGCACCUGUUUUUGGCUUGAUAAAUCUCCCCCAUAACUGUUAAAAUAUCAUCACAGGUGCAGCAUGGGAUUGAACAAUAUCUUGCACUUUAGGAAGAACAAUGAGGAUGUAAAUUUUGGCUAAAUAAUUAUGUUAUUAUUGUUUUUUUACUUACAAAAUGUUGACAUAUUCUGUGACAUACAUUGUUAUGAGAUUUCUGUGUUCUCUCUGAAGAUAUUUUUAGUAAUCCCCUUAUUCAGCAAGUGUGAAAAUAUAUUUUUCCUGCUGUGCAUAAGCUAUCGUAUAGUAUGUAGCAUCAAUAGAACUCUGCGUGAUGUUAUUAAAGAGUCAGUUUUGGUUAACUCUUUCUGUGCCGGUGUAUUACAAAUAUCGAUACAAGAUGAAAUGUUAACCAUUUUCUGUAGGACUCUGGCAGAAUAGUAUUGUUUCUUUAAAAAGUCAUUUCAUACCCCUAAAGAACUUUAGCUUGCUGAAAAACUUUGUGUGAAGAUUGUGUGCUUGUUUUUUGAUUUUUUUUAAAUGUACAAAGUUCAGUAGAAAUUGGCACUUUUAUAAAUAAACCUGGUAACACUCACUUGGCUUUCAAUCAGAAUACAGGUUAUGUGGCAUCCUGGUUUGGUUAGAUCAGUGGAGCUGAACUUAAAGGGACUCUCCAGUGCCAGGAAAACAAACUGUAGGUUCCACUGCAGAUCCCCUCUCCCUCCCACCCCCCAUCCCAAGUUGCUAAAGGGGUUAAAACCCCUUCAGUGACUUACCUGUAUCCAGCGCCGAUGUCGCUCGGCGCUGGUUCAGGGUCCGCCCAUGCUCCUCCACCGCAAAAGUCAUCCGGCGGGGAGACCUAUUGCACAUAAGCGGCUGCUGGCAGGGGGAGACCUAAUGCACAUGCGCGGCAAUGCCAUGCACGCGCAUUAGACCUCCCCAUAGGAAAGCAUUGAAAAUGCUUUCCUACAGGGAUUUCAGCGACGCUAGAGGUCCUCACAUAGCGUGAGGGCGUCCAGCGACGCUAUGGCACACGAAAUGUGUGCUAUAAACCCGGAAGUGCCUUCUAGUGGCUGUCUAUUAGACAGCCACUAGAGGAGGAGUUAACGCUGCAAGGUAAAUAUUGCAGUCUAUGAAAUCUGCAACAUUUACACUUGCAGGGUUAAGGGUAGUGGGAAUUGGCACCCAGACCACUCCAAUGGGCAGAAGUGGUCUUGGUACCUGGAGUGUACAUUUAAGAGGCAGCAAUUGCCCAUAGCACCUGCCUUGCAAAGGCUUAUAAUUGAGCUGCAUUGGGAAAUCUAUGAUUGGACAGCCGCAGAAAGUGUGGGCGGAGUCAGAUGGGGAGGGUUUGCAAAGCCUGAAAACAAGAGAUCUGCAGGUUUUUCAAGCUGUUUUUUUAUUUCACAAAUGAGCAAAUGCAUAAUUUAAUGCAUGCACAUUUUCAUUUAGGGUAUGUAUGCUAAACGGUGACUUUUAUUUAUUUUGUAUUUGAACAGUGAAGUGUCCCUAUAAAGCAACUUUGAACCAUAUGGUAAAUUUGAAUAGCUGAAAAUAUGAGCAUAAGCAGAUGCAAUGGGAAAGUUAGAAUUUGCAGGGGUAGUAUGUCUACCAUCAGUUUGUAUAGGGAACAACCAGCCACCUGUCAAAUGAGAAGGAUUGUGCAUUCAAUAUGUAUAAAAUGGCAAUGAUUGCAUUAUAUGUAUCUCAAAAGCAAACCUUCUCAAUAAUUGAGCAUUUAAAUAAAAUACAGUGUCACGUGCCAUUCAAUCAGGUAAACGUAAAUGUACUCAUCAGUGCUGAAGAAUAUAAUUGUAUUCAAAAGAGAAAAAGUCAGGUUUAAUGCAUCAAGUCUCGGCUGUACACUUGAACCUUUAUCAAAGCAUUAAAUUUAAGAACUAAAACUUGUUCAUAAGAAAAUGAAUCAAAAAUUUGCCUGUGUGAUCUUCAGUGAUUAUACUUUUGUGUAUAUUUUUGCUAUCUGUCUAUUAAACUAUCUUUUGACACACAUAGACAGACAGACAUAUAGAGAUAGAUAGAUCGAUAGACAGAUCUUUUAUCAAGUCUAAUGCUAAUUUGUAUGACCAUUCUAAAAACUUUUUUUGUGAUUUAUGUGCCUUAAAUUUGUAAGUACUUCAUUGUUCAUCGUUACUGCUCCUUUCUAAAGAAACUAAAAGAAAUUAUUUUCCAAAUAUCAUGAGGCUUCACUUCCAACCAUCACAUAAAUUAUACUUUACAUGACAUUAGUACACGGCAGAGUUGUUCAGUUCUUGAAAAGUCUUACACAGUCGGUAAUUCAUAUUUUUAAACAGUUCACUCUGAAUAUCCUUGCACUCUUCCUGAGAAAUCAUGGAGUGAAUGGGUACCUUAUAUUUAUCUUGACAUAAGUAGUUCAGGAAAUAUUAGAGCUUUAAAUACGCUGACAUCCACCUUACGAAAUGUGAGCCAAAGUGGCCAGCGAGAGAGAAAAAUGUAGAAUUCAGAUAAGUGGUAGAUUUUUUUCUAAUCUUGGUUAUUUUUUCUUACAUUCUAGAUCAGGGGUAGGCAACCUUCGGCACUCCAGAUAUUGUGGACUACACCUUCCCUGAUGCAUUGCUAGUAUUAAGACUUAACAAGCAUUAUGGGAGAUGUAGUCUACAAUUUCUAGAGUUGUCUACCCCUGCUGUAGAUGAUUGAAGUGAUAUUGGUACUAUGGAUCUCUCGUUUGAGAACAGGUUAAGAAAAAACAGGACUUUUCAUGGCACACAAAGAUCUCUUCUUCCACUGCACUGAUAAUCUAGAGUUCCACUUCUGUAUUAUCAAUAUCAGUUCUGUCCAACCUGAUGAGCAGUAACAGGCUGAGAGAUCUAGGGCAGUGGUCCCCAACCCAGUCCUCAUGGCCACCAAAAGUCCAGGGUUUCUUUAUUUCUCUUUUUUAUUCAAAUGGAGAUCCUGACAAAACCUGAAAUGUUGGUGGGCCAUGAGGACUGAGUUGGGGACCAAUUUUCUAGGGGCGAGUUAGCUCUCUCAGCCAAUAACUGUUUUUGUCAUUGGAUUAAAGUGACAUUGCUAAGAUGCCACGUAGAGCCUUGGUUUUUGUUAUAUCACUCCUAAACGGUUUAACAAACAAUAAAUAAGAAUGAGGGACAGCGCUCAGAAACUCUUGUCAGGAUAACCAUUACACCGAACUGUAAUGGUUAGGUUGUUUCGAGACCCCUUUACAUUCUCCUAAUUGGAUUUGAGAAAAUGUUUUGAAAUGUUUACCAGAACAGCUGACUUUGGUGCUUCCUUAUAACUAUUUGGGUUCCAAAGAGUUAAUUACAGCUUUUUUAUUCAAGGGGUUAAAAUCUGUUCAGUACCGUGACAUUGUGUGCCAUUGGUUUGUAAACAUUCUUUUUUUUUUUUUUCUAGAACACAAAGCAAACCACCCGAGGAUGGUCUGUGUGCUGGGGAUAAUUAUACUCUCCUGCCCUCCAGGGAUGCUUUGCUAGAUGGGAUAGUACAUGUGUUAUUAUGCACUGCAGUGAGCAUACUCUUGCAGGAUGAUUGCAGUUUUUUUUCUCUAUAACUAUGAUUGUUUCUUAAGAGUGCGUCAGAUAGUUAAAAAGUAAUAAGGGGAAAAUCCGGGGGUGACUGAGCACUAGAAAGAGCUUACAAGAUAAUUGUAAAUGAAUAGCAUUCAAACCUUCCAGAAAACAAUGAUAGCAGCAAUGUGUUUAUCAUCUAACAUACAAUCACUAAGGUUCUAAGAAUUCAUCUGGAAUAAGGAUAAAAUGACAUGUAAAUGUUAAGAUACUUGCGUUUUAAACCUGAGCAGUGUACAUCUAUGUUUCAGUAUGAAACAUGUCAGUUGCUUAAUAUGUGUAUGCCACAUUGGUAUUGCAGAAUAAAUAGCGCUUCAGUAUUUGUUUAAUAUCAGCAAAAGGCAGUGCAUCCCUGUCACGGUACUGAACAGAUUUUAACCCUUUGAAUAAAAAAGCUGUUAUUAACCCUUUGGAACCCAAAUAGUUAUAAGGAAGCACCAAAGUCAGCUGUUCUGGUAAAUAUUUCAAAGUGUCUAUUCGCUGAACAACUAUUUUUAAAUCCAAUUAGCAGAAUGUAAAGGGGUCUCGAAACAACCUAAUCAUUACAGUUUGGUGCAAUGGUUAUCAUGAUGAUAGCUGUCACUGAUUGGCUUGGGGUGCACAGAUAUGUUGACAGCAAAUCCCUCUCUGCCAGAUGUGCCAUCAGGUGACCUUACUUGUAAAAUACAAAAGAUAAAAUAUUCAACAUCACUUUUUUUUUCUUUUUACUAAAAUAGUAAUUUUUGUUUUCCUUUUCACUGAAAGGUAAAAAGUUAAUUAUAAUAUUAGCUUUAAUAUGUAUUCUAAAUGAUGUAACAUUGAAAAUGAUGUAUCAUUACUUAAGUAACGUUACCAUGUGAUCCAUCUUUUAUUUGUACACAUACAUGAAUUUGAGGCUGUCAUAUACAAACUCGUUUUGUUUUCCCAGAAUCCUCGUAGCUGAUACUUAUUUAAUUUCAAACACGCAAAUAAAAAUAUCAUAUCUUUCAAACAAAGUUGAACCUGAUUCGCAUCAAUAACUGUUUAAUAGUGUUUCAGGGAAAUUCUAUGAAGCAUCUGCCCAGCAGACAAAUUCAAAAUUAUUUUAAUCAAUUUUUAGGGAAUACUUAACUUUUUAGCAUUUAAGCCAAGAGAUAACAGAAAGUAACUCACAAUUUCCUACCCAUCAUUUAUAUUUAUAUUGUAAUUAUAUCAUUGUAUACACUGUGAAAAAUACCAAGUUUAGAUUUUAAGAGAAACCAACAGUCAAAUGUUUCCAAUUUCCAAUUCUCUUAGAAUUGACAGUUCAUAAUCAUGAGGGUGAUGCAACCACAUGUACCUUCUGUGCAAAUACUGACUUAUAAACUAAUAACGCAAUAUAAAAUAGAUUAAAUGUAAGUUUAUGGAAAGAAGAUUGUAAUAGAUAUCUUAUAUCAGUAUGCUGUUUUAGGACUAUUCUACGAUUUCUGAGACUGAUUAGACUGGCAUUAGCUUGGUAGCAUACUUAAAAAUAUUGUUGAUGAGACGUGAUUGAAUUGCAAUCUGGAAGAGAACUCUCAAACAAAUACUUCAAAAGAUAGCAAAUGAGAAGAGAACUCGCAAAACAAGAACAGUACAGACACAAAAACUGGAUACAGUUGAAAACAGUCCCAAGUAACAAAGUGGCAUAGUUACCUAGCUGAAAAGAGACAUGUUUCCAUCAAGUUUAGCCUUUUUUCACAUUUGUUUUUGCUGUUAAUCCAAAAGAAGGCAAAAAAACUAAACAAAAACCAGUCUGAAGUGUUUCCAAUUGUGCAACAAGCUAGGAAAAAAAAUCCUUGUUGACCCCAGAAUAGCAGUCAGAUAUCUCAUUGGAUCAAGAAGUAACUACCCAAGUAAUUAAAAAAAAAUAUAUAUCCCUGUAUAUUAUGUUUUGCAAGUAUUUAUCCAAUUGCUGUUAAAACAUCUGUACAGACUCUGAUGAAACCACCUCUUAAGGCAGAAAAUUCCACAUCCUUAUUGUUCUUACUGUAAAAAAACCCUUUCCUAAUUGUGUGACCUUGUAUCCUAUGUAUAGUCCUAUUUAUUGAUAGAUUUACAGACAAUGGUUUGUAUUGUGCACAGAAUUGACAUCAGUCAGCCUGUAACUCUGAACUGGCUAAUGAUAUCAUAAUGACGGUGCCCAAGGUGGAGUUACGCCACCGUUAGCAAAGUGCUAUAUCUCUCUGAAUGCAGCAUUUCAUUGUAAAACACUGCACAUACAGACUCCAAGCACCAUGACUACUUCAAAUCAAUUUAAGUGGUUAUUGUGCUUGGACAAACCCUUUAAGUAGCACGUUCAUUCAUCCAUGCAGACCGUUGAUUAUCGUAUAGAGCCUCCAGCACAGAGCAAUGCCAUAUGCAUAUGCAGUUUGAUUUGGAGUAGUCCUACUACUUGACUAAUACACUAAUAAAAUACAUCUAACUAUCUACUUUUGUUAUUGAACAAUCAGUGAAUCACAGCAACAAAAUUACGAAAGAAAUGUAAUUCUCAGUUAAGCAUAGAAUAAUCGUUCCCUCCGAAAACUUGUUUUGGUAAAAUAAUAGAGGUAAAAAUGAUAUGCCCAUUAUGAUCGACAAAAGUAUGUUUUCAAAUCCCAUACUGCGUGAUGUGUGAUGUCACACUAAAAAUAUUUGACAUUGUGAUUGACCCUGCACAGUGUAUGAAAUCCUAUCUCGGUAGAACUGACAGCUGUUUCCCAGUCUCACCAGUCUUGGGCAGAAGAAAUAUAUUUAUUCUGAUGCUGCUCUAACGAUAAAGCUGCCAUAGCCCCAGUCUUAGUUAUGAAGAACCAAAAUUAUGUCUCAUGGUUCAUGAUAAUGUCUCCAUGUAAUAUAUAUGUCCACACAAUUCCAGGGCUCAAAAUAGCCAUGAUGCUCUCACCCCUGUACAAAUCAGUGAAUAAAUCCAAUGUUAUCUGUAGCUCUGGGUCACUAAGUAAGCACUCAGGGUUAAUAGUACUGAAAUGUACAGCACGGCAUUGGAAUAUGAAGCAGGAAUGCACUGCAACCCACACUAGCAGCAGAGGUGAUAUCCUCACACUAACAGGUUCUGGUGCUGUCUGUAGUAAGACAUUCCCUGUCAUAUUUUUUAUUUUCUGUGUUGCUCUGUUUUAGGGUUCCAACAUCACAAUUCACGAGUAAGACACUCAGCUUCAAAAGAAGCUCUUACAAUUUCAUAAGAUCCCUUCUCUAUUCCCUGUAAACUCUGCCCUCUAAUCACAUACACAGUCCCCGACUCCGAGCCACAACGUGCUUGGAGUCAUUGAUUUACUUACAAUACCCUAGUGGCCUCUGAAGUUAUUCUGUGAAGAAUAUUAAGCGAGUAUGUGGAACAAACACAGCUCUUCAGAUGAACCAAAACGCUAAGAGCAAAGCAGACAUUUGGAACACAAUAUGCACUUAGAAAGGAAGAGGAAAACGUGUCUACAAAGCAGUACCAUGACAUACUAAGUCUCCUACGAUGGCAAAGGCAGAUAUAAAAAUUAAAAAAAAAAAUUCUGAAUAACAUUGUAUCUUGCGAUCUACAGGGGACUUAAAGCAUCCUAAUAGAGACAGACCCCUGGCCAUGUCAACCUUUAUGGCAGACAUAUCUUUUGAUGUCUGAGAAUAAUUGCUUGGACCCCCAACUCUUCUCAUUUUUCUCUUGACUAUGAAGGAUAAAAUACAUUUUCCCUGGAUAUUGAUGCAGUAACUGUACCCAAAGUCACUCCAAAAUACUUUUUGUUCUGAUGACAAGGUGUAAGGUGUUGAAGUCUUUCAGGGAUAUUUCUACCUCAGCUUAUAAUGCUGACUUGCAAGAUCGCUUACUUAAAACAGGAUUUAAAGGGACACAAUAGUCACCAGAACCACUACAGCCUUUCCCUGCAGUCUUAGCACUGUAAACACUGCCUUUUCAGAGAAAAGGCCACUAGAGGUACUUUCUAGUCCAGUGAUGCUCAGUGUGCAGCACUGGUGUUCAGUGUCUCCACGCUCUCAUCUUGUACAAUGGACUGCCUUGGUUUUUUACUUCUCCUAGGACAGCAUGACAGAUAUAAUAGCAGUGUUGGUAUAAAACACACUUUUCUUUUUUGCUAUACAUAUCUUUUGUUUAAAAGUUUCUUUGGAUAGUCUAGGCAUUCCAUCCAUUUUACUUUGUGUUUAUUUGUCUUCACAUGGUUUAAAGGACCACUAAAGUUGGCCAGGCCACUUUAUCUUGAUGUAAUGGCUUGCGUGUAGUGGUCCUGUAUGUUUAACACACCACCCCCUACACCAAAUAAGUGUUAAGUGAGGUAUAAGCAAGAGUACUUAACUCAAUGUAGUGUAGCUGCCCAAGAGGCCUUCCUCUGUGGUGUCCCUUACAACAACAAUAUUUAAGGUUUUACAUUGCAGGGUUAAACAUACAGGAAUACAUACACAAAUCUGGGAUACAGCUUGGUAACUAAAAAAGAUAAAUUGAACAGCACAUAGUGAUGUAUUGUAAUAUAUACAAUUAAUGAGGUAGAUUACACUCACAAGAUGUAAGAUAAAUGACCACCUUGCAGCCCUGAAAGGGCUAUGGUAAUCCACUGUCCUUUCUUUUAAGAAACAAAAAUCUCAGAAGAUGGAGUCAGGAACAAAUACACAUUUAUUUAGGCAAUAAUAAUCCUCCAAUAGUCAAAAAAGUAGUAAAAACAAAUGAACAUUAAAACACAAAUAUCCAACGCGUUUCUUCCACACAGGGUGGACUUACUCAUGGAUAAAAAUCAGCAAGUAAUAGUAUACAGUUCAAUGUAUAGUCCUAAACCCCCCAAAUGUCCUUUAUAUAGUACCUGCCCUUGCUCUUGAUUGGAGAAUCAUCCCAAGAGUCUUGCAUUUAGUCCCAAUCAGCUCCUCUUCUUCAGACAGAGAACUUCCUCAUAGGCUGUUUGGUAAUCUCUUUAGCCACUUCAUGUUAGUGGCUUGAUUUUUCUGAUGAUCCUCAGGCAGGAUGUGCUUAAAAUACAUCACUAUGUGCUGUUCAAUUUCACACUGACAGCCACUAGAGGCGCUUCCUACUGCAGCAACAGAGUCAUGUGGGAGAGCUUUGACAUGUGCAUUAGGUCCAAAAUGCUCCUCUGUGAAGAGUGUUGGAUUGGACUAACUCUGAAGGAGGCCAUGCCUCCUUGUUGUUUUUGUGGAAUGAGGAGAGGUAAGCAGCGUGGAGGGAUCCUCGGUGCUGGAAAAAAGUUAGUAAAAACACUUUUUUGUUUCAUUGUCUAUGUUAAAAGGAGGAUGGCACCUUUCUAGAUAUGGACAUGGACACUAAAUUGUUAAAAAUUUGUAUUGCUAACGCUAUAGUGCUCCUUUAAUACUAAUGUUUUUCUUACAUCUCCCAACCAAAUGAAAGUAUGAGUCACUAGAUUAAGUGAAUAACCUUUUGUGCUGUUCUGAUCAUGUUCUGAUCAUGUUUGCAAAUCCUUGCCAUUAUAUUAAGCAAUAUUUCUCAAUCACGUGACAAUUUAUACGUUUCUCCAUAUUAUUUGACAUUUGAAUGAUUUGAUUAUUUUUUUAGUUGUUUUGCUAUCUGUAGACAUUUGACUCACGUGUGGAAAUUUUCUCUGAAAAAAUUACCACAAUGCUCCAUGGAUUGUCCAGAGGAAAAAAAUCAUGAUAGUACAAAUAUAUGCAGAAAACCUUUCGAAGGGAAGUAUAUCUUCCCAGUCUAAGAUAAAAGAUACAAGGAAACAAACAACAGAAGGAUCAGUGCUAAUUAACAAAAGGCAAAAGGGCAGCAAUCCAAAUUAAGGGAUACCUCUCAGACCCUUAGUGAAUGGGAAAAGCAAAAACACAGAAACAAGGGCUGCACCUGAGAUAUACACAAAUAUUGUAAACAACGACUUGUAUUACGAAGGACUAUUGAUGUACUAAAAAUGGUCCUGAUAAAAUGUUUUGAAUAAAAUACCUUAAAGUCAAGUGGUCAAAGGACCAGAGCAGAACAAUCUAGAAAGGUAUGCAGGCGCUCAAAGUUCUUUGAUGUAAUUCAUAUAUAGCAUAGAAAGACAAAAGUAGAAAAGACUCCAAUAGUGCAAUAUAUCAAUAUGAUCAGAGUGGAGGUAGUAAAAAUAACGAGGAGUUGCUCACAUUUGGUGGAGCUAUAGCCAGCUCCAGCGUAUAUGGUGUGCAGUGGUAUAAUCCCCAUUUACAGGGUAUGAUGUGAAAGUCCUCAAUAGGAAAGAUUCCAGAAGCAAAAAUAAAAGGAAACAAAUAGUGCUCUCUGAAUUAUACAAAUAUUGUUACAAAUUUAAUAAAAGAUAUAUACUCACAAAGAUAGAGCAGACCAACUGCUCUUUGAAUAAUGAAUACCCACCUAGGAUUCUUUGUAUUGGAUAAGAAAUGGUAAUAUAAAAUGCCAGGAGAUUUGAAAUAAAAAGGUAAUUGGCACAGGUAGAGUGACCAAAAAAACCUAAUUUAAACAAAAUACAAAGUAGUAACAUCCAUAACAUGUUUCACCAAUAGGCUUAAUUAAAUGGAAGAAAAAAAAUCUCCUGGCAUUUCAUAUUUUAUAUUACCAUUUCUUAUCCACUCCAAAGAAUCCUUCCUAAUAUCAGUCGUUGUUUAGAAUAUCUGUGUAUAUCUCAGGCGCAGCCUUUGUUUCUGUGUUUAAGAUAAAAGAUAAUAGUAAAUCUAUUUAUACUUUUUAUUGUCUGAAAGUCUAAUUUAACAGCUUCAGUACAGAUUUUAACGAACUGAAGUUCGAAACAAAACAUAUCUCGAAGUCUAGUUUUUUUGUAAUUUGCCAGAACAGUGUGUGUUACCAUAUUCACCAGAGUGAAAUGAUUCACCUUUUACUAAAGAGAAGGAACAAAGUCUAACUCUCCCAAUGGUCCACAAUGGGACCAGCAGGUCUGAGCCUCCAAUAUAUGUAAAAGGAAAAAAACUAAAAGUCUCCUAUUUAAAUUUCAAGUCCACUGUACAUUCUGGCCCCUAUACAUUUGUCAUAUGGUCUGAUCAAAUAAGAUAGGUAGAAAAAGGGAGAAAAAAAAGCGGGUAAGAAUAAAUGAGGGGGAGGGAGAAUAUAACACCCCAUGCAUCUUUCAUGCAUGUCUAGUCGCCCCACAUGCCUUCCAUACAUGUCUACAGAGAAGUGACAACUGCCUUUCAGAGAGCUCUUGUUGGUUACCUCAAAAGUUGCAUGGUGCGGAAAAGUCGACAGUGCUAUGCUGAUUCCAUAGCAGAAGAAUGCCAAACUUCCACUGGCAUUAAUAUCAGUAUACAAACUGUGCAGCUUCAUGGAAUGGGUUUCCAUGGCCAAGGGAUACUUUGUCCAUUCCAGAUUUAAAGGCAUAGUACCAUAUAUAUAUUUUUAUAUUUUUAUUCUCUAUGCAGUAGUAUUUUAGCCAUUAGUCAGCUCCUGGUAUUCCCACUCUUCUAGAGAGUUCUUUUCCCUUGUUCUAUAUAGGUUUUUAGUGAAUCCCUAUCAUUACCAGUUUUCGAGCAGCUUAGUGCUAGUCUGUCUCCCUCUCUCCUGUGUGGUACAUUAGGUACACCAGAGCCAUUCUACAUGCAAACCAAACCUCACAUCACCAAGUACAAUGCCAAGUGUUGGAUCGAGUGGUGUAAAACACGCCACCACUGGACUUUGGAGCAGUGGAAAUGUGGAUUGACAAAUCACGCUUUUCUGUUUUGCAGUCUGAUGUGCGAGUCUGGUUGGCAGAUGCCUGGAGAAUGAUACCUGUUUGACUGCAUUGUGCCUACUGCAAAGUUUGAUUGAGGAGGGAUAAUGGUAUGGGCUUGUUUUACAGGGGUUGGGCUAGUCCCCUUUUUUCCAGUGAAGGGAAAGCUUCAAUGAUUCAGCAUACCAAGACAUUUUGGACAAUUGCUAUGCUUACAGCUUUGUGGGAACAGUUUAGUGAAGGUCCUUUUUUACUCCAGCAUGACUGUGCCCCAGUGCACUAAAGCAAGACAUGGUUGGAUGGGUUUGGUGGAAUAACUUGAUCAGCCCAAUCAGAGGCUUUACCUUAACUCCACUGAACACCUUUGGGAUGAACUGGAAUGGGAUUGCGAGCCAGGCUUUCUCAUCCAACAUCAGUGCCUGACCUCACUAAUGCUCUACUGGAACAAUUCCCACAGAAACACUCCAAAAUCUUGGAGUGGACAGCCUUCCCUGAACAGUGGAAUCUGCUAUAGCUGCAAAGGAGGGAACAACUACAUAUUAAUGUCGAAGUAUUUAGAAUGCGAUAUCAUAAAACACCCCGUUCGUGUAAUGGUCAGGUGUCCCAAUACUUUUGUCUAUAUAGUGUACUUGUCUGCUUGCUGUGGGUGAUAAUGGGCAAGUAGAAUUUUUAUUAUAUGACAGCAGUAUCCUUUAGCCAUACACAUUAAAAAAAAAGUCUAUUUCCUUUCAACGUUUGAUGAAAAGAUGAUUAUUAAAUUAAAAAAUAUUUUUGAGCUGAUAGUUGUCCUUUGAUGGUGGUUAUUUAAUCGAUCCGAACCAACAAAAUGCCUAUCAGGAGCAGAUAAACUGCCAAUAAAGUGUAUUGGCUCUGAUUAAAUUGUAGCGAAAGUGUAGCGAAAAUAUAUAUAUAUAUAUAUAUAACAAAAACGCACUCAGAAGGUAUUUCAGGGACAUUAUACAGGAAUUAAGGAACUGUGGCAUUACUUACCUCCACCGAGCUGCGCAGACCCCCUCCUGCCACGCGGUCCGACCGCGCCACGCGACCGUGUGGCACACUGAGGGAGAUUCACCUCUCUCGAUCCUAGCAAACCUCCUCCUGCCGCGCGGUCUGACUAAACUACGCGGCCGCGCGACAGGCCGUGUUUCUAUAGAUGUGGACAUGACGUUACGCCCACUCUUAAAGUGACCAUGUUAUCGUUGCAAUCCUAAUCUGUUUUGGAUCACAGUGAUGACUUGGUACUAUUAGAACAUAGUUAAGUCUAUUUAAGGCUUAUUUUAACCCCCAUUCAUUGCCAUAUUGUGGUUUCUGUUAGAACCUCGUUUAGUGCUCCUAGUGAUUCUCUUGUGAUUUCCUGUGUUUGACCUCAGCUUCGUAUUUGACUCAUAAUUUUUGGUAUCCUGACCCCGGCUUCGUAUUUGACUCGUGAUUUCUGGUAUUCUGGCCCCGGCUUUGUCUUGACUUUGAGUAUUCAUGCUAUUCCUGUCCUUGACUUAUUCUUGACCUUGGUUCUUGUUAAUACGUUAGGUCCGGCCAUUCUAAGGCUCGGUAAUGCGUAUUUCGGAUCCACCUUUUGUGGUUUCCUCUUUCCUGUGUGUUGGGUUACGACUCCCGUGACAGGAACCUGGACCAAGCAUGAAAACCUGCAACAUGAGCAAUAAGUGAGCUAUUACUAUUUUUUAAAGUCAAUUUGCAUUGUUAGUUUGUUCCCUACUUCGGGGUAGCAACACUAUAUGUUUAUUUGUUAAGUUAAAUCAAGGCCUGUUAUUUGAAUAAUUUAUGGUGUAGAGAAAUUACUGUGAACAUUCUAAACCACAGUCAUUCCUAAACGUGGUACAUCAAUCGUGUAUGAUACAACUGUGAAUGGAACGUGCUGGAGAUGAUAAUAGCUGAUGAGAACAGGUGCAAAUGCUAUCAGCAGUUCAAUUCAUCUUAUCUGUUAAAUGGAAUUGCUUCCAAGCACUUAAACAAAUGUGCCAUAAAUCUUUGUUGAAGAAGGGUUUAGGAGAUACGCUCAUCUCUCAUUGAAAAUAAAUCGUUAUUAGCUGAGCUACAUCAUGGUUUGGACAGAGCUGACAUCACAAUAUUCAAAUCUUGAGGAUUUACAGUUAAUUCAGGAUAUCAAGAAAAUCAUCUUUUUAUGGUUUACAUUUUGAACAAUUUUCUUGCAUAAUCUAUAUAAUAAUUUCAAAAUAGGGGUCACUUUCAGCUUGGAGUGUCCAUUUAGCUAUUGAUAGAAAAUAUAUUAAAGCCACCAGGUCAAGUAAAUCUGAAUGCUGCUAAAUUAUUGUGAGCUUGUCAUAUAUGCAAGCCAACAAAUCUAAAUUUGUAAGUCUUGAGGACUUAAGACGUAAAACCAAAGAAAAAUAAUGUAACAAAUCUACACAAUAUCUACCCAUCAUUCAUAGAAAUGACAUUCUGAGGAUACAAGAAAAAGAAAAUCAUACAUUUUGUCAGAAGGCAAAAGUAUAGAAGCUCUUAAGUCACUGUCUUACAAUACAUAGAGAAGAUGGGCAAUUAAUUACACAACAUUAUAUAGACCAAAGAAAAACAAGAGACAUGAUCACGGAUAGAUUAGAUAUCAUAUAGAUUGUAUGCAUGCUAACCCCCAGAAGCAUAUCUGUAACAGAUCAUCUGGCACCCCGACUGGGCACCUCCGCCAACAGAUGCUUCCUAGCUGACCCUGAGGACCAUAAGCACCGCACCAGACACCACAAGCACCGCAGACUUCACAACCGCCGUAGCUUAACUGGAAUCUUUCCAUCUUCCUCCCAACCUGGGACAGACCUCUCCUACUCCAGAGAUCGUAGCAGGAACAGCUCUUAGAAGAGCUAGUAAUUAGAACCCAGGGGAGUAUAAAGAGUAUAGCAAUCCCCAGUGUGAAUAUAGCAGUUCCCCUCCAACCACGAGACAAGGCUUUGUGUUGAGGGUUAAACAGGAACUCAAUUUUAAUAGAGGCACACUGGCCUUUUAUGCAGGUUUCCCGACAACAGUGACGCCCAGGCAGACCUUGUUGGGCACAGGGACACAAAGUGUACAAGCCAAUAGAAACAAUGUGACAAUGAAUGACACUCCCACAUACAAUACACAAUCCCUCCCCUCUGCCUGUCAUAUAAUUAAGGUAGAUAAUACAUUAACUUAAUUAUCCCCAGACAGAAAAACCAAACAUUUUUACAAAGUCCAAUAAAUACCCCAAAAUACAACAUAUCCCCAUAAGUCACAUCCCCUGAUAGCUCUGAUCUGGGUGAACAACAUAUCCAAAAAUCACCCAGAUUAGAGCAGGGGUUCAGGAAAUCCCUGGAAGUCUCUUUUUGACCGACAGCACGCAUGGUUUCAUGCCCAAAACAGUUCCAGAGAAUUAGGCUGCCACAUGUUCGAAUGUCGUGUGGCGGCCACUUCGACAACUUCGACACUUCAACUGUAUCCGAAGUGCCACAACGACCACUUCAAAAGUUCGAAGGACCAUUGUUCACAGUUCCAAUAGGCACAAUUAGGGUAAAAGUCUGGCAAGUAGUCCCCUCCAAAACCCAGUGGCGAAGCAGCUUUCAUCACAAUAUCCAUCACCAAAGGAAAUGUGUAGCAAAUGGGCAUUGCCAAUGUAAAAUGAAGCACCAUCAAAGCACCGUUAAAGGGACACUAUAGUCACCAAAACUUUAGCUUAAUGGAGCAGGUAUAGAUUAUGCUCCUGUAGUCUCACUGCUCAAUUCUCUGUCAUUUAGGAGUUACAUGAAUUUGUUAAUGCAACCCUAAAAAAAACCUCCCUGCAUGUGAUUUACACAACCUUCCUAAACACUUCCUGUAAAGAGUCAUCUAAUGUUUACACUUCCUUUAUUGCAAAUUAUUUUUAAUUUAUAAUUUCUUAUCGCCUGCUUUGUUAAUAGCUUGCUAGACCAUGCAGGAGCCUCCUGUAUGUAAUUAAAUUCCAAAUGACAUAGCAGGAGAUAAAAGCCUUUUAAAGUAAGUGACAUCAAAUUGAAAAUGAAACAAUUUUGUUUUCAUGCAGACUGUGUCAGUCACAGCCAGUGGAGUUGUGGCUAGGGCUGCAAAGACAACAAAAAAUAUUUAAUUUUGUUGAGCAGUGACACUUCAAAUGAAUGAUCUAUACAAAAAAAAACUGCUUAAUUACGCUAAAGUGGCUAUAGUCUCCCCUAAAUAAUAAAUUAAUCAAUGUCAGCUCAUCUGAAAGAUUGUGUGUAACAACAUCAACAUAUAGCAAAAACGAAUACAAGCAAGCUAUGGGGGGUCUACUAAAUAAGCAACCUUAUGAAGUUUAGUGCACUGAACUCUAAUAUCAUGUUAUCCUUAUAAUAGAGAGGUUUCUUUGAAUAUAAUGCAUGGGAAGGGGAUGUAAUAAUGUGACGGUGAUAUAGGACAUGAUUAGAGAGGGGUAAUGUGACAUGGGCAAGUAGAGAGAAUUUUAAAGUGACAUUAUGAGAUGAAAGGAUGUAAAUAUACUCCUUUAUAUAUAUGUGUACAACUUUACAUUCAAACUCAUUGACUCAAUGGAAUGAAAAUCUGCAUUCACAUACACACUAUAUACACAAACAGCCCAGCAGUCAUACACAUACACUGAAAGGGUUAAAGUUCAGUACAGGGAGUGCAGAAUUAUUAGGCAAGUUGUGUUUUUGAGGAUUAAUUUUAUUAUUGAACAACAACCAUGUUCUCAAUGAACCCAAAAAACUCACUAAUAUCAAAGCUGAAUAUUUUUGGAAGUAGUUUUUAGUUUGUUUUUAGUUAUAGCUAUGUUAGGGGGAUAUCUGUGUGUGCAGGUGACUAUUACUGUGCAUAAUUAUUAGGCAACUUAACAAAAAACAAAUAUAUACCCAUUUCAAUUAUUUAUUAUUACCAGUGAAACCAAUAUAACAUCUCAACAUUCACAAAUAUACAUUUCUGACAUUCAAAAACAAAACAAAAACAAAUCAGUGACCAAUAUAGCCACCUUUCUUUGCAAGGACACUCAAAAGCCUGCCAUCCAUGGAUUCUGUCAGUGUUUUGAUCUGUUCACCAUCAACAUUGCGUGCAGCAGCAACCACAGCCUCCCAGACACUGUUCAGAGAGGUGUACUGUUUUCCCUCCUUGUAAAUCUCACAUUUGAUGAUGGACCACAGGUUCUCAAUGGGGUUCAGAUCAGGUGAACAAGGAGGCCAUGUCAUUAGAUUUUCUUCUUUUAUACCCUUUCUUGCCAGCCACGCUGUGGAGUACUUGGACGCGUGUGAUGGAGCAUUGUCCUGCAUGAAAAUCAUGUUUUUCUUGAAGGAUGCAGACUUCUUCCUGUACCACUGCUUGAAGAAGGUGUCUUCCAGGAACUGGCAGUAGGACUGGGAGUUGAGCUUGACUCCAUCCUCAACCCGAAAAGGCCCCACAAGCUCAUCUUUGAUGAUACCAGCCCAAACCAGUACUCCACCUCCACCUUGCUGGCGUCUGAGUCGGACUGGAGCUCUCUGCCCUUUACCAAUCCAGCCACGGGCCCAUCCAUCUGGCCCAUCAAGACUCACUCUCAUUUCAUCAGUCCAUAAAACCUUAGAAAAAUCAGUCUUGAGAUAUUUCUUGGCCCAGUCUUGACGUUUCAGCUUGUGUGUCUUGUUCAGUGGUGGUCGUCUUUCAGCCUUUCUUACCUUGGCCAUGUCUCUGAGUAUUGCACACCUUGUGCUUUUGGGCACCCCAGUGAUGUUGCAGCUCUGAAAUAUGGCCAAACUGGUGGCAAGUGGCAUCGUGGCAGCUGCACGCUUGACUUUUCUCAGUUCAUGGGCAGUUAUUUUGCGCCUUGGUUUUUCCACACGCUUCUUGCGACUCUGUUGACUAUUUUGAAUGAAACGCUUGAUUGUUCGAUGAUCACGCUUCAGAAGCUUUGCAAUUUUAAGAGUGCUGCAUCCCUCUGCAAGAUAUCUCACUAUUUUGACUUUUCUGAGCCUGUCAAGUCCUUCUUUUGACCCAUUUUGCCAAAGGAAAGGAAGUUGCCUAAUAAUUAUGCAUACCUGAUAUAGGGUGUUGAUGUCAUUAGACCACACCCCUUCUCAUUACAGAGAUGCACAUCACCUAAUAUGCUUAAUUGGUAGUAGGCUUUCGAGCCUAUACAGCUUGGAGUAAGACAACAGGCAUAAAGAGGAUGAUGUGGUCAAAAUACUCAUUUGCCUAAUAAUUCUGCACUCCCUGUAUUUGUCUGCACUAGACUGAGAAUAAUGAUAAAAUCCCCCUUAACACCACCCACACUUAAGCAUAAUAAUGUAAAUAUUACUAUUUUAACACUCCCACCACCAAGACAAUUUAUAAAUGGGGGUGCCUUGGUCCCCCAGGUAAUUUAAUAAUAAAAACCCACCAAAUGUAACUUAGCACAAUAUCUAUGUAAUUGAAAAAUAGUAAUUAGUCUCCUUAGGUAACGUGAUUGUUUACCAGACAAAGGCAGAGCUUAAUAAAGGAAUAUUUAUUAUGAGCAAAAAAUAGUCACAGUGCAUGCAAAAAUAUAGAUGACAAUCAAAUUAGUUACACCAACAACAGAUAAAAACAGAAGGGAUAAAAUAACAAAAGUGCUAAUGACUUACUCAGCUUUUCAAAGUAAAACUUCUGCCCCAGGGAGUCUCAGGCAAGAAAGAGAUAUACCCUGUGGACAGCAAGCCUCGCCCAGAGGUGGAAAUAAGGCGUACCACCUAUAAUAACUAUAAGUGACUACCCCCCUGUGUCCCAGUCCCACAUCAAUCCAAAUAGAAACUUUUCCUUCUAUCUCCUCUUUUGUACUUGCCACAGAAAUAAUAAUUGCCUCUAUGAAUUUGUUACCAUUUCUCUAUUCCAGAGCUUUUGAUUAAUCAAAGGAUCAAUGCAUAUAGUAAACCAUCUGCUCCCUUUCACAUUCCUAUGCAAUUCACACCUUCUGUCAUCUGAUCUUUACCAAGUGGUCAAUUCAUAUAUGCACUACACAAAUUAUAUUAAUAUUCUAUUGUGCAACAAUGAAUUAUGCACCCUUGGUGUGACACUAAACACACACAAGCAGUUAUUCAUACACAGUGUCUCUCAAUGCCAGAUGCACGCCUUGAAUCAAAACAGUUUCAGUUAUAUCUGUUUGAGGUGGUAAGUUCAUUUUUUAAGUACCCUCUAGACUGUAGUACCAUGAAAAGCUAUGGCUACCUACCUACCCUGCAGCUUAUUUAUUUUGUUUUCAACAACAACAAAAAAUUUUCACUAUAGGUUUUUAGAAACUGAUUUAAUUUAUUUUAUUAUGAAAAGUUAUGUGAUAGUUAUUAUCAAACAACAUCACAUAUAAUUUAAAAAAAAAAGUACUGCCUUCUGUUGUUCAUUUAAAGUAUUUUUCUUAACUUCACAUUAUCUCUAAAUUGGGGCACAGAUGUUUUUAAGAUGCUCUGGAUUUGCACUCCCUUGUUGCCGUCAUUUUAUGAAUGGCAUCUCGUAAUGGACCGUGUAACUGGAUUUAAUUUCCAGCAUGGGUACAUGAAAGUUCACAGUGAUUUAUGUCUGAAGGAGGCUUGCUCGAAUACAUAAUAGGAGCUGAUUAACCACUACCAUCUGAUCUUUAUUGUCAAUGGAUUAUAGAGUUCAGAUUUGUCAUGUUAUAAUGUGUGUCAUUUAUGUUUGAUGUUUUCUUCGCUAUACAGGUUUCUUUCUGGCCUUUAACACAAAUAGUAUUUAGAGAAUUACGUACUAUUACUAUAGAACUUAGGAUUUGAAAUGUUAACAAAUAAAUUUUCCUGGGCACUUUGCUGAAUCAAAUCCAGAGUUACUUGGUCUCUUACCUGUUUUGCUUUAGAUGAAAGCUCUCUUUUUAUUGCGUGGCUAGUAGGUGGCAUGUGAGGCUUCAUCAGUUGCUUCCCAAUUUUAGAGGGAGUGCCAUCCUUUUGCAGACAGUCCCAUUUACAUUUAUAGUUGAGCUCUUACAAAGGUCUACAUACCAUCUUUGAGAUCAUAAAAUGACCAUACAUGGUGCUAAAAGAAAUCACUGUAGGAACAAAAGUUGUGAAAUGUGGUCCCUGCAUAUUAAUUCUUGUUUUGUAUUUAGAAAGAGUGUUAGGGCAUAGAAACAAUGGAGAUUUGUAGGUGUCAUUUUUAUAAAAGUGCAAAUUAAGUGACCAUCAUCAUGAAACUGAAAAAUAGAAAAUGUACGUGAAAUGGAGAUGUUGAUAUCAGUUGAAUGUUCUGUACGAAUUUCUCCUAGGCUUCUGUAAAUCCAAAUUUCAGUGUACAAUUAAAAUUUUUUUUUUUUUUGUUUGUUUUGUGUAUAUUUAUUUAUUCCUUUUAUUUAUUUAUUUAUUUUGUUUCUGGUGUAGUACCCCAAAACGGCAGGUAGGGGGGGACAAUACCGUAUAUAUGGAGAUAUUCACCUAGAACAGGAUCACCACAGAGAAGGGGGUAAGCAUGAACAACUCAAGCACCCUCUCCCUCCCAGGUCCCCUGCCUCUAUAGAGGGGCCUGGCAGACAGAGGGUGAUAGGAGUGGGGAUGAUAACGGGGGACCAUGUGAAUCACAGUUUCCCCACCUAAGAUGGCCGACUUGGAUCUCGCGAGUAGCGAGAUCCAAGAUGGCCGUUCGCGCCAAAACUAAGCGCGGCCCGUGAUCGCGUUGAUCGCGGCCCGCUUAGGUGAUAACAGACCCCGGCCCCCCACCCGCCCACCCUGAGCUGCCCGAGCCGCCGGAGAAGCCGGCCGCGCUAAUCAGCCGCGACCACGGCAAUUUAAAGCCGCGGUCGCGGUAAAACCGCGAGAAAAAGCUAGGGGCAGAAAUGAGGAGGGGGGGGGAAAUGGCAGGGGGAGAGGCGCAAAGAAAGGGGGGCUAACCCUUAAAAUAACAAUAAAGAUCUCUACUAGGCAAAAGAUAACAAUAUAAACAAAAUUAUUUAAAAGCAAUAUAUAUACUGUAAGAGUUAUAGGUAAAAUCACUCUGACCUGUGUCCUGGCUGGAAGCAGCAAAGAAAGAGGAAAUGGGAAGCCUGUCAGGGACUUAUAUACAAGAGGUGCUGGACUCUGAUUGGUUAAACUUUUUCUUUUCUGAUUGAUUGACUUGUGCUGCUGGAGGCAUAAAGUAAAGAAAGUUUAUGCAAAAUAGGAAGCCUCCUGUCAUGUAAUAAAAUUAAAUGUGUCUUCCAGCCCUCAGCCUAGAUGAGAAAAGUGUAACAUUUUGUACAUAACAUCCUCAGGAGAUGUUGAAGUUGAACUGUAAAAUGUCCCUGGGACUAUCACUUGUUUGGGGGACAUGCACUUAGUGUCACUGUAUACAUAAGGGAACCUAAAAACACGGUCUAUCAUCUUCAACAGAGUAUACUAUAAUCUGUUUAGCUGGACCUUAGAGUGACCGGGCUUAAUGUAUGAAUGGUCAGAGAGAAAGCUAAGGGAUGGAGAAAUUAGGGUAAACGUGAGACAAAUCAAAUAUCAAGAAAAAAAGAAUAGAAUGAAAGGUAAUCAAGUCAAGGUCAGUAACAGGAGAUCAACAAUAUCACAAAUACAUUAUUGGGCUAAAUAAGAACCUCAACAGGGUGAUUGGGACAAGAAAGGCAGGGUUCUAAAUACUCAUGGUUCUGUUAGGAUUGGACCAUGUCAUAGAGGAGCGACAGAAAACAUGAGGCCGGCGGAUUGCCAGUUUUGCGACAACUAUGACUUUGUUUGCAUGCACUGAGAAGGCGCUUGGGAGGCAUGCCAUUCAGAUGUGGUCAUGAGCAUGUAUAAAUAGAUUUGCAUGAGGCUUCUGAUUCUUUGCUGGAGUGGCGAGGGGGAGCCCAUAAUCGCCCAUAGCUGGUAUCUGGAUAGGGCUCUGUGAUUAAUGGAACAGGUCAGAUAUCCUUGUAUCUAUUUAAAAUAGCAAGCUGAAUAUGGAACAAUACAUCUCAGCACUCUCUAAAGCCUUAGUAAAUUCAACCAGGCUAAUGGUUGCCUUUAAAAAGAGACAGGAUAGUCAAGGGCAUGGAAGACCAAGCUGUAUUCUGAUCGGAUGGCCAAGAGGCCUGUUAUGUACAGACCUAAGAAGACUGUUGGUCACUCUAACCACAGUGAUGUACAGGACUCCAUAGAGAGAUUUGAAUAUGACAUUUGUCAGGUGUUUUCCUAGUGGCUCCUGGAAUCCCAUUGAAAUUUUCCUUGUACAGCUAUUGGCUGACCAUCUCAAGCCAAAUGUUACUUAAAUAUCCCUAUGCCUACAUUUUCUGUUUCUAAAGAUUGUUUUAAAUAUAUUGAAUAAUAAAAGUUUGUUUUUCCAGAAAACAUCUGUCCAGAUUCUGUGAUUUUACAAACAAGUGUCUGUCCAGACUCUGUUUGCUAAUGAGAGACUGUUAUAAGGCUAUUAAGAGCUAUAAUCACUAAGAUCUAUAUUGACAAAACAGCUAAUUACUCAUCAUGUUGCAGACCUGGGCUGGGUUAGUUCCAAGUUUGGAGAUUGCGCAUGUGACUGUUUAGGGCCAAGACAAACUCUACUGUGCUCUUUUAUAUCCACUCGGGAUUAUAGAAUCACUGUACAGUGAGGGGAAAACGUAUUUGAUCCCCUGCUGAUUUUGAACGUUUGCCCACUAACAAAGAAAUGCUAAGCCACGGAGCUGAAUGGCCACAUGUUGUCUGAGCUCGGGACAAAAGAGCUACUUUUACCCUAAUUGCAGCACCCAGACCCCGCAUACUGACCGCAAAAUAGACAGGAUGGGGUGAAAAACUAAAAAGUCCAAACCGCAUCGGCGACCUCUGGAGACAGGCCCGGAGUGCAGUUAGUCCAAACAUGGCCGCCUUCCCUGAUGAAAGCUCUGACAUCUCCGAUGACUUCAUAACCGGAACGGAGGUAAAGCCCUGCCCGCACCAAAGGCCCUUCUCUCUACUCCCCCAUGACCCGACUCACCCCCGGUCACCAUAGCGGUUAUAAAGGACCUGCUGGCCGGGGUCCAACACGCUAUUCAGAUGGCUAUGGCCCAAAUACGCACAGACCUGCAGGGCCUGACAGGCCACAUUAGCGCCCCUGAACAUGGAUCCCUACAAACCACCAAGCACACCAAGCAUCUACAGCAACUGGUAACUGAACUGCACAACAGAAUCUUAAAUUUGAACACCAAUUUGCAGUUCUGGAGGACCAGAGGUGCAGCAAAAACAUUAAGAUCCGGGAGAUCGCAGAAGAGAUACCGGAGGCUGAAAUUCCUCACUUUAUACAAAGGCUCCUCACGGCCCUACUUAUACCUCAACAUGCUAAACAGAUAACCCCGGAGGGGAUGUUCUGACUCCCAAGGUCUGCUACAGCCCCAUGCACGCUACCCAAAGAUCUACUGGUAUGGUUUCCCUAUAAUAGGGAUAAAACAGCAAUGCUGAACGCAACAUGAAACCACUCUCCCUACCUAUUUGAGAAUAUGUCGCUCUCAGUCUAUACAGACCUCUCACGGUCCACAAUGGCCUGGCACCGUUCACUUCAGCCCUUCAUGGCACUUCUCCGCGCGCAAAACAUAAAGUACAAGUGGAGGGGCUCACGCGCACUACAACUUUCUCAUGGAGACUCCCGGUACACCAUCCAAGAUAUGCAGGGCACGAGAGACCUACUUCCCACACUGGACCUACGACAGGACGCCAUACCUACGAUGGGACAACGCACCAUACCCGCUUUACCUGGGAUAGGGGACCCAGCAACGACACUACCAUUUGUCCCCUGACGGCUCAAAUCACAGAGAAGCACAGCAGCAACAACCUGAUGGGACUCUGAUGGCUAACGAGGCCACAUCUAAUUCUCCAAGGGUCUCCAGGCCCAAGGACUAGCCCAAAGAGCUUAAGUGGAGGAACUCUAAGCGCACAACAGUUUAAUGUGCACAAGUUACCUGUUCCCUUAUAUUUUGGUUUAUAUGUUGUUAUUCUUAUUUUAGACACAUUAUAUUAGGUCGCAGAGAGUCCAAAACACAACGCACACCUAGUCUUACUGGCCCGAGGGAAGGGUACAACACACAGUCCCACUGCAGCAGACAUACCCGCAACCACAUAGCGUCCCGACAGAGACCGGGCCAUUGAGAGAGCCCCACUUUCUCUUUCUCUCCCCCCUGCUCCAUAGGGUUACAGGGGAUCAUAAUCCACACAACCGACCACAAGCCACCUGACCCUUUCAUACAUGUGUUCCACGCAUACAGGCCACAGGCGGACCACGCACAUAAGGCACACAGAAUGUUAUGUUUCCCAGGGACACUUAGCUUUGGUACACAACAGUGGCAAGAUGAGCACACACGCUAGUGUUUAGCUAACUUAUUCUCUACUUCAUGAUCUAAGUUUGUGAAUGUCUUCAGGUCCAACGUUAACUAAAUAUAAAAUGUGCAGUCUAUAUGAAACCAUGUUACUGUCCUAAGCGGAUUGUUAGUAAUGUGCUUGAUACAGCUAUUGUGGCGUUUCAAGCUUGUUUAUCACCCUUUGCAUGUGAAAAAUAAAGAAUUUAUAAAAAUUAAAAAAAAAUCAAGAAAAAUGCAUGUCAAAAAAGUUAUAAAUUGAUUUGCAUGUCAAUGCUGUAAAUAAGUAUUUGAUCCUCUAUGAAUCAGCAAGAUUUCUGGCUCCCAGGUGUCUUUUAUACAGGUAACGAGCUGAGAUUAGGAGCACUCUCUUAAAGGGAGUGCUCCUAAUCUCAGCUCGUUACCUGUAUAAAAGACACCUGUCCACAAAAACAAUCAAUUAGAUUCCAAACUCUCUGCCAUGGCCAAGACCAAAGAGCUGUCCAAGGAUGUCAGGGACAAGAUUGUAGACCUACACAAGGCUGGAAUGGGCUGCAAGACCAUCGCCAAGCAGCUUGCUGAGAAGGUGACAACAGUUGGUGUGAUUAUUCGCAAAUGGAAGAAACACAAAAUAACUGAGUCUGCAAGAUCUCACCUUGUGGAGUUUCAAUGAUCAUAAGAAUGGUGAGGAAUCAGCCCAGAACUACACAGGGGUAUUUUGUUGAUGAUCUCAAGGCAGACGGGACCAUAGUCACCAAGAAAACAAGGUUCCCCUGCUCAAAAAAGCACAUGUACAGGCCCAUUUGAAGUUUGUCAAUGAACAUCUGAAUGAUUCAGAGGAGAACUGGGUGAAAGUGCUGUGGUCAGAUGAGACCAAAAUUGAGCUCUCAACUCACCGUGUUUGGAGGAGGAGGGAUGCUGCCUAUGACCCUAAGAACACCUUCCUCACCAUCAAACAUGGAGGUGGAAAUAUUAUGCUUUGAGGGUGUUUUUCUGCAAAGGGGACAGGACAACUGCACCACAUCAAAGGGACAAUGGACAGGGCCAUUUACCGUGAAAUAUUGGGUGAGAACCUCCUUCCUUCAGCCAGGGCAUUGAAAAUAGGUAAUGGAUGGGUAUUCAAGCAUGACAAUGACCCAAAACACACAGCCAAGACAAAAAAUGAGUGGCUCAAGAAGAAACACAUUAAGGUCCUGAAAUGGCCUAGCCAGUCUCCAGACAUUAAUGCCAUAGAAAAUCUGUGGAGGGACCUGAAGGUUCGAGUUGCAAAACUUUAGCCUCGAAACCUUAAUGACUUGAAGAGGAUCUGCAAAUAGGAGUGGGACAAAAUUCCUCCUGAGAUGUGUGCAAACCUGGUGGCCAACUACAAGAAACGUCUGACCUCUGUGAUUGCCAACAAGGGUUUUGCCACCAAGUACUAAGUCGAAGCGGUCAGAUACUUAUUUCACUCAUUGACAUGCAAAUCAAUUUAUAACUUUUCUGACAUGCGUUUUUCUGGAUUUUUGUUUUUGUUAUUCUGUCUCUCACUGUUAAAAUAUACCUAACAUUAAAAUUAUAGACUGACCGUUUCUUUGUCAGUGGGAAAAUGUUCAAAAUCAGCAGGGGAUCAAAUAAUUUUUUACCUCGCUGUAGCUAUUAAUUUAUCUCUAUGUUUUAUCUGGUGUCUGUUAAAAGUUAUUCCUCUUUUCAAAUGGCUUGCACAGAUAUACAUGAUGCAAAUCUGUAUGAUCUUAAUGAGGAUUGCAGAAGUACCUGUAAAAUGUGUCAAGGCACAUAGACAACAUGUAUGGCUGAAGUUUUAUUCCUGAGACAGCUCUCAUGGUACAAUUAGACAAUUAAUCCAUAAUUGCAAAUUUUGUCAUAUCAUAAAAAUUCUGCUCUUUCUUACCAUCUACUUUAACAGAGAGAUGUCUGGCUGCUAAAACUUUACUGUGAUGUGACAGGUAAUCUAGACCUAGGACUCAAGUGUCAAGACAUAGAUCAUUCACAACUACAUCAGUCAUCAAAUUACUGUUUUUCACUCACAUAACCCUUGAUAUAUUAUCCAGUACUGCCGAUAUAAAAAUCAUUCGUUGAUGCACUUUCUAUUACAAAUAUUCAUCCGUAUCAACUUCGCCCAUGUAAAUUGGUUAUAUUGCUCUAGGUCACAGUUGCCAUCCCAAAUAUCAAUGAUUAACAAACAUUGAGGAAACUUCUUAUGUAGAAUAUAUCUAAAUCAUAGUUACCGUGAUACCAGUUACCAUCCGAUUAAAUAAUUGGCUUUAUUUCACUAUUAAACAUUAAUAAAUCAGCAAUAAAAUGUGUGAUGACAUUUAAACUUUUAAAAUAAAGAUUUGUAUUUUAUUUAUUUAUUUUCCAAAUUAGGGUUACAGAAGGUAAAGGAGAUUUGGAGAGGUAAAAUAAAAGCAUAGAGAUAAUGCAACAUAACAUGUAUGUAUGAUGCAACAGUCAAUAGACAUAAAAUUGUCAUAAUCCACUGUAAUCAGAAAAUGGUACAUUAUGUAUCCAUAGCCUGAUAUGUAGUAAUAAAGACCAUUUGGUGAUAUUUAUCGACAACCAAAGACUUGCCCACUCUUAGCAUUAAAAAAAAUACCUGUAAAUUAGGAAACAAUUUUAUUAAUGGGUAUUGUCCAUUCCAUAGACAGUUCCAAAAUAGGCUACAAUUUAAAGUUAGAUAUGUUUUGAAAAUGAUUUAAUAUUUCUAGAUACGUUUUUUACAUGAUUUAAUAUUAUGACAAGUCAUUUGGUUUUGUCAUAUUAAAAUAUCAAUACAUACAGUAUCUCACAAAAGUUAGUACACCCCUCACAUUUUUUUGUAAAUAUUGUAUUAUAUCUUUUCAUGUGAACACUGAAGAAAUGACAUGCUGCUGCAAUGUAAAGUAGUAAGCGUACAGCCUGUAUAACAGUGUAAAUUUGCUGUCCCCUCAAAAUAACUCAACACACAGACAUUAAUGUCUAAACCAUUGGCAACAAAAGUGAGCACACCCCUUAGUGGAAAUAUCCAAAUAGGGCCCAAUUAGCCAUUUUCCCUCCCCGGUGUCAUGUGACUCGUUAGUGUUACAAGGUCUCAGGUGUAAAUGGGGAGCAGGUGUGUUAAAUUUGGUGUUAUCACGCUCAUACUCUCUCAUACUGGUCACUGGAAGUUCAACAUGGCACCUCAUGGCAAAGAACUCUCUGAGGAUCUGAAAAAAAAAUAAUGGCCUAGGCUAUAAGAAGAUUGCCAAAACAAUGAAACUGAGCGGCAGCACUGUUGGCAAGAGCAUACAGCGGUUUAACAGGACAGGUUCCACUCAGAACAGGCCUCGGCAUGAUCGACCAAAGAAGUUGAGUGCACAUGCUCAGCGUCAUAUCCAGAGGUUGUCUUUGGGAAAUAGACGUAUGAGUGCUGCCAUCAAAUUGGUCUGCAUGGCUGUCACCCCAAAAGGAAGCCUCUUCUAAAGAUGAUGCACAAGAAAGCCCACAAACCGUUUGCUGAAGACAAGCAGACUAAGGACAUGGAUUACUGCAAAUAGGUCCUGUGGUUGGAUGAGACCAAGAUAAGCUUAUUUGGUUCAGAUGGUGUUAAGCAUGUGGCGGCAACCAGGUGAGGAGUACAAAGACAAGCAUGAUCGUGGGAGUGUCAUGGUCUGGGCCUGCAUGAGUGCUGCCGGCACUGGGAGCUACAGUUCAUUGAGGGAACCAUAAAUGCCAACAUGUACUGUGACAUACUGAAGCAGAGCAUGAUCCACUCCCUUCGGAGACAAGGCCGCAGGGCAAUAUUCCAACAUGAUAAUGACCCCAAACAUACCUCAAAACUACCACUGCCUUGCUAAAGAACCUGAAGGUAAAGGUGAUGAACUGACCAAGCAUGUCUUCAGACCUAAACCAUAUUGAGGAUCUACGAAGCAUUCUCAAACAGAAGGUGGGGGAGAGCAAGGUCUCUAACAUCCACCAGCUCCGUAAAGUCCGCAUGGAGGAGUGGAAGAGGACUCCAGUGGCAACCUGUGAAGCUCUGGUGAACUCCAUGUCCAUGAGGGCUAAGACAAUGCAGGAAAAUAAUGGUGGCCACACAAAAUCUUGACACUUUGGACCCAAUUUGGACAUUUCCACUUAGGGGUAUGUUGGCUGUGUGUUGAGUUAUUUUGAGGGGACAGCAUAUUUAAACUGUUAUACAGGAUGUACGCUUACUACUUUACAUUGUAGCAGAGUGUCAUUUCUUCAGUGUUGUCACAUUAAAAGAUAUAAAAAAUUUGCAAAAAUGUGAGGUGUGUACUUACUUUUGUGAGAUACUGUACAUAUGAUAUAUGUAUUGAUAUUUUAAUAUGUUGAAAAAUAAUUUAAAAAGUUUAUCCAAAAAUAUUAAAUCAUUUGGAAAUCUUAUCCAACAAUAUUAAAUUGAGGCCAUAAUUGGCAGAUUUGCUGGUCCAUACUAGGCAGGUCUGCAAUAUUUACAGGCUAACUACCCAUAUAAAACUAAAAAAAAUAUAGUAGGUACUUAGUUUUGGUGAAAAAAGGUAGAAUAGGCUCUCCAAAUGCAUCAUACUCAGUGAUAUAUUUAUCUUUUCUCUUUGCCAAACCACAGUAGUUUCAUUCCAGCAGAUAAACAUGUCCAUUACGCAUAUUUGUGCAACUUGUGUGAAAUGACACUCUAAGUUGGUCAAAUCUAAACUGCAUUACUGGUCAUAUUAAAUUUUGAAAAGUAUUGAAGAUCCCACAUCAUUUUUGCUUUUCUAAAUAUCUGAUGAAUUUAGCACCUUUGAUGUGAAGAUUUUCAGCUGGAGCAGAGGAUGGAUCCUAAACAUGCAAUGCAUUUUGAGUAAAAGUGACUUUUGAAACAAUACAUCUUAACUAUGAUAACUCGUGUUUUACAACUAGCUAUAAAGUUGUGCCUGGGUUGUAAACUAUAUCAUUUUGUUUUAUGUUGACAAAUUCCCUUUGCAGGUUUGGUCAUUUAUAACUCAAAAUAUAUAAAAUGAUCAUAUCUCUAGUCAAUUUGACACUUAGCCUUCAAGAUAGAAUGCAUAAAAUAAUGUAUUCCAAUACACACAGCUUUUGUCUUCCUAACCCUAACUGCAUAAAAUGAUACCUUCUCAUAUUCUGGACAACACAGACAAGGAAGCCAGUGUCAAGGUGGCCAUGCCGUCAUAAAAAAAAAGUCCAGGUAUAUAUUCAACUAAAAUCCAUGAAUUGCUGGAUCUUGUUUAAGCCUUUAAGGACCAAACUUCUGGAAUAAAAGGGAAUCAUGGCAUGUCAUACAUGUCAUGUGUCCUUAAAGGGUUAAACAUAUAUGCAAGCAGUUCUAAUGCUAGAAUAUGCAAUAAUGGUGAUCAUAGUCAUCCUUGUGUGGUAUUGUUUACUAUUGGUAUUUCAGAGGAAAUCCACUGUUUGAUAGGUAGGCAACUGGAUCAUGAUAGGAAAGUAAUUUAUCAACGAUUGCCUUCAGGAAGCCUCAAUGGAGACUUUUCAGCAUCUAAUAUUAAAAUCACCCUGAGUAUUUAGGGUGAGUAUUACUGAGUAAUACUGAGUGUUUGAUAGUUGAUUGCCAAGGAUUAUGCAAUGUAUGGAUAUUAUAUGAACCCUGUCUGCACUUCACAACACCCAUCUGGUCAUUGUGGAUGAGGUACAUCAUUUUAGCACACAGCCUACACACCUGCAGAGUUACACUAGACACCAGAUUUAGAUUUAAAGGGACACUGUAGGCACUAUAACUAUUUAAAGGACCACUCUAGGCACCUAGACCACUUCAGCUUAAUGAAGUGGUCUGGGUGCCAGGUCCUUCUAGGGUUAACCCAUUUUUUUUAUAAACAUAGCAGUUUCAGAGAAACUGCUAUGUUUAUGAAUGGGUUAAGCCUUCCCCUAAUCCUCUAGUGGCUGUCUCAUUGACAGCCACUAGAGGCGCUUGCGUGCUUCUCACUGUGAUUUUCACAGUGAGAGCACGCAAGCGUCCAUAGGAAAGCAUUGUAAAUGCUUUCCUAUGCGACGGGCUGAAUGCGCGCGCAGCUCUUGCCGCGCGUGCGCAUUCAGCCCAGGAGGAGGAGAGGAGGCAGAGAGCUCCCCGCCCAGCGCUGGAAAAAGGUAAGUUUUAACCCCUUUCCCCUUUCCAGAGCCGGGCGGGAGGGGGUCCCUGAGGGUGGAGCAUGUUUUCCUGGCACUAUAGUGGUCCUUUAAUCUUAUGAAAUUGAUUAUAGUGCCUGAAGUCCUCUGGCACUGUCCUUCCAUUCAGUGUUAAAUUGUUUCUGAUCAGUUUAAUGCUAAAUAAGGGUCACUCACAGCUCAGUCCCUACUAUAAGUAUAGCAAAAGCAGAGAUGAUAUACUUAUUUCUAGCCAUACAGUAAGGUUGUGUAUAAAGACCUAUGUGAUUUAGCAAACUCCAAACAAUUUCUAAUGGGGUUUUCCAAUUUUUGGCCCAUUGUUAAAGCAAUACAAACUAAUUUAGAGUCUAUUUGCAUAGGCUGUGCUUUGGUGCAGAGUAGCCUGCUGCAAUGAUUCCCUGUGUAUAAUACAAUAAAUAUAAUGACAUAACAACAAAAUGCUGCACUAAAACAGUCUUGUCACUUAAUACCCUAUGCCAAAACUGCAAAUUCAAUUUCUUUUGCAUCACAAGCUUUGCACAAGCCAACAGAAAUUAAUACAAUCAGUUUUGGUCUUUAAAGAAUAGAUUGGAGACAUAGACUAUCAUUGAUCCUUGUGAGUAAAUUCUUCACCUGGUAUCUAGUCCAGUAUAGAUUUUGAUCUUGUAACUUUUUAACAAGCAGCUUCCAUUUUGCAGGCUAUGUCUUGUGUUCAACCGAUAUGAGGUCCAUUUAAUGAAGGUUAUUUUUAUUUUUUUUGCUGGCAUUUAUAUAGCACUUUCAUAUAGAGAGGGAAAUGUAACAACUAAUGAGACAAGUUGUUACGAUUUAUGACAGGAAGGUUGAUGAGGACCGUGCUGAACGAGCUUACACUUGAGAGGGAAGCGUGGGGUACAGCAACCAGUUUGGGAUGGGACAGUGGCAGAGUUGAAAGAUGACAGUGAAUGGGAGUGUGGACUCAUAAGAGAGUAGUAGAUAGGUUUGAGAAGUGGCAGUUAGCCAAGGAGGCCAUGGGUAUUCUUCUUAAAGGAUUGAAAAAUAGAAGAGCGUCUGAUGGGAAAAGGCAGACUGUUUCAUAGGAAUGGAGCUGCCUGACAAAAGCAGGAGUUAGCAGUAUUGAGAGAGGGUAUACCUAUGAAUUAAUGAAAAAAUGUAGAGUGGUUAGAGUUGUGGAGAGCUUUGUGGUAAGAGUUAAUCUUUUGAAUUAGGGCACAUGAAGCAAUGUAAUGAUUAGACUUGGUGAUUAGUUUCUGUCUGAACUGCAAUUUGUCCAAAAAUGAAUCGUCUGCGUAGUGCGAUAGGAGAGUCAAUUCAGUUGGUUUGGGGUUCGGAAGCCAUUUGAUGUGCCUAUUACUAGUAGCCUCUGCCACUGAACAACAACUUUGAACCACUAACUUACACUUUGAGUGCUGUUGAGUAUUUUUUUCUCCUUUAUUUUCACGCUUCCUGACAUUUUGAGGUCGAAACAUUUUUCAUCCCUAAGUGAAUUGUUUCCAGCACAAAAUAUUCUGAUCCAAAAACUUCUAAAAUUUUUGUCAUGCACAAGUGUAGUAACGAUUGACAAAGAUGAGAUGAGAAAGGAGUGCUUGGCGAUAAAAAUAAGCAUUUAUUAUAGAGUGUAGAGAGGCAGCCAUGGUUUCUGGAAAGACCAAUGAGGAUAGAAAUACAGAAAUCAAUGUGAAAAAAUAAGAGCGUAAACAACAUAAUAUUUAAAAAUAGAAGGUAAGCCUCAAGAUUAACUUGUCCGAGCACUCUGAUUGGCUGGCUUACACUCUCAAUCAAAUUGCAUGGUGUAGGAAAGCUUUAUAAGGCUAUCCCUGUCUUGCAAGCUCAGUCUGCAUGGAGCCCUCAUAAGAUGAAGAUGGACUAAUUUUUUUGUCUGGAUUUUUUUCAUCAGUGCGUUUUUUUGUUUUUUUUGCAAUAAGGUCCUUUUUUAAUUUAAUAAUUCAACAUGACUUUAUGGAAUUCUAUUUGCCCUUUUUGGGGCUUGAAAUAGAAAAUGAAAGAAAAAAGAAGACAUCUAAUCGUAUUACUUUUUUUUAUUUUACAGGUAUUUCGUUUAUUGCCCCCUCACUAUUAUUAGGGUGAGAGGUCCACCCACAUUAUUAUUUAGGGCCCCCACCCUCUCUCAAUGCUUGGUGGGGCAAUAGGUCCCUCCAUUUAUUAUUUAGGGCCCCCCACUUGUCACCAAUGAGGAGGGCUGGGAGUAUACAAUAGUUCCACACCCCAUUAUCAUUUAGACCACCCAUCAUAUACCAAUGGGUGAGGGCACUGUGUUCCCCUGUUAUUAUUUUUAUAGUGUCCACCUGUGGCCAUUGGUGGGGGCAGGAGGGGGACAAUAGGCCCCACAUUUAGUUUAAUAGCCCCACUCGCAAGGAAUGGGUGGGGGUAAAGGAGGAAGCUUUGGCUCCACAGUUAAUUAUUUAAAUAGUUGCUCCACCAUUGGGGCAUGGGGAAACUUUACCAGCUUACCCUUUAUUGGAUUAGCAAUAGCUGCCCAGUUGCUAGUCUUUUCUUAUGACGGCGAGACGUCACUCGGUGGUUUUGUAGACAUGCCCCUAGUAUUAGUAAAGUUGUCCCAAAGACCAAAAGAAAAAGAAAAAUGAAGGGCUUUUCAUAAUUUUGGUCCUUCAGUGUUUUAGAAGAUUGCUCCCUAAUCUUUAUGUGAGAUUGCCAUAAGAGUACCAAAGAGAAGCUACAGUUGUGCUCAAAAAAUUGCAUACCCUUGGAGAAUUGGUAAUAUCUGUACUAUUUUUUAAGAGAACAUAAGUGAGCAGAACACGUUUCUUUUAUUUCUUAUGGGAUUCAUAUUCAACUGUAGUUCAUAACAGAAUGGCACAAUCAUAAAACAAAACAUGAUAACAUAGAAAAAAAUGAAAUGGCCCCUGUUCAAAAGUCUGCAUACCCUUAGUUCUUAAUAUUGUGUAUUGCCUCUUUAACAUCAAUGACCGUGUGUAGUCUUUUGUCAUAGCUGUCUAUGAGGCCCCUAAUUCUUGCAGGUGGUAUAACUGCCCAUUUGUCUUGGCUAAAUGCCUCCAGGUCAUGCAAACUCUUUGGUCGUCUUGCAUGACCCGCACAUUUGAGAUCUCCCCAGAGUAGCUAGAUGUUAUUAAGGUCAGGAGACUGUGAUGGCCACUCAAUAACCUUCAUCUUUCUCUGCUGUAACCACUGGAGGGUCAACUUGACCUUGUGCUUAGGAUCAUUGUCAUGCUGGAAAGUCUAAGAGCAUCCCAAGAUAACAUACUGCAUUCAUUUUGCCAUCAAUUUUCACAAGAUUCCCCGUGCCUUUAGAGCUCACACAACCCCAAAAAUUCAGUGAGCCACCACCAUGCUUCACAGUGGGGAUGGUAUUUUUUUUAACUGUAGGCCUUGUUGACCCCUCUAUAAACAUAGCGCUUAUGUUUGUGACCAAAAGCUCAAUUUUGGUCUCUCCAAAUUACAGUGUGCCAGAAGCUGUGAGGUGUGUCAAGGUGUUGUCGGGCAUAUUGUUACCGACUUUUUUGUGCAUUGGUGCAGUAAAGGCUUCUUUCUGGCAACUCGACCAUGCAGCUAAUUUUUGUAUAAGUAUCGGCAUAUUGUAUCCUCAUUCUUUAUAAUCUGGAAAAUAAUUUCUGGCAGUUGUGGCUGAAGUAUUUCUUGAUCUACCUGACUUUGGCUUGGUAUCAAGAGAUCCCUUAAUUUUCCACGUUUUAAUAAGUGAUUGGACAGUACUGACUGGCAUUUUUAAAGCUUUGGAUAUCUUUUUAUAUCCUUUCCCAUUUUUAAAAGUUCUAUUACCUUGUUACGCAGGUCUUUUGACAGUUCUUUUAUGCUCCCCAUGGCUCAGUAUCCAGCCUGCUCAGUGUAUCCACGUGAGAGCUUACAAACUCAUUGACUAUUUAUACACAGACACUACUUGCAAUUAACCUUGGUGUGGGAAAUUAACCUUUAAGUGCCAUUUUAACAUGUGUGUGUCACCUUGUGGGUUUGUAACAGGGCCAAACAAUCAAGGGUAUGUAAACUUUUGAUCAGGUCCAUUUGGAUGAUCUCUGUUAUCAUUAUGAUUUCAAAAGGAGACAAACAACUAUGUCAUAAUAAAUGGCUUCAUAUGAUCAAUAUCUUUUAAUAAAAUAUAUAUUUUUUUUUUGCAUGAUCAGUCAUGUUUUUAAAAUGAAUGCCAAAAUGACACAAUUUCUCUCAGGGUAUACAAAUAUUUGAGCACAACUGUAUCUACUAAACAGCUCCUUAAUUUGGCACCAUUAAAUAUGGCAAUCCCACAAGGGUACCAAUUUAGGAAGUUAUUUAAAAAAUGUUUGCAGAUUGCAGGAUGCAGGUGCGGAAAAGAUCGGAAUUUAAUUAACAGAACAAAAAUAAUGGCAGAAUUUCGUCCAAAAAUGAACGAACAAACAGAUGAAAUCCAGUUCAGACAUAAACAAAAUUAUUUUUCGUACGAAUGUAUUUGAGUCCAGCUUCUUGAUAGAUAAAAACAUUAUUAAGGAGAGUAAGACAGGCUAUAUUAUGCACUAUACAGGAGGGCAGUCAUGCCCUGUGCCUAGUGUGAUGAAAAUCAUACAAACAGAAAACAAUUCCACUCCAUCAACUGCUAAAUGUACUGUGGUGUGUGGUUGAUGACAUCCUAGGGUAUGUUUCCAGUGUCUCAUUAUGAGUGUAAGAUAUUUAUUUUACAGCGUAUUGAAUUCUAAUGACGUUAAAGAAGCUCUUGUCUAUGUUCUCUAAUAGGAAUUAUCAUAGGAAUUAUCACAUUAUAAGCUUAUAAUCAUAACUUUAACAGCUAUAUCAGAGCAGAAAUACUUAUGAUUUUUUAUAUUAGUUAUCGUUGACCUGACUUACCACAAUAAAAUCAGAAUAUUCCGUCAUCAAUUCCGAUAUGAGUCAUAUUCAUCAAAUAGCUCCCUAUGAGAUUUAGACAUAUUUUAUUAUCAUGUAUAAUAAAUACAGUCCAGUAGUAAUCAUAUAUAUCAGAGUAUUAAAGUCAUGCUGUCAUAUGUUGUAUAGAUGUGUUUGCAAUUACGAAACAUUGUCACUUAAAAUUAUAAGGCAAUUCUCAUAAUAAUGUAGCACAAGCAUUGAUUGACAAUGCUAUCGGUUCAUGUAAAUACAGGUACAUUAAUAUGCCACCUUACCACUUGUGUUCUUGCACACAUUAUCAAUGUAAAAGUAGUUGUGAUGGAGCUCCUGUACUUCGAGUGAGUACCUCCGACAGGUCAGCUUCCUCCCUGAUUUUCCCUAAUCUGUAUUUUAUAUAUAUUUUGGUCUUUACAGCAGCUUCACUGCUAAGAAAUUCAUGUUCCAGGUGUGUCCCAAUCUCCUUUUUUGUAUGUAUAUUUUGAAUUCAGACCAGAUUUCUAUUUGAAUGAGCACCACACCCAUCCACUACAAAGCUGUAAUCAAAAUUAUUUAAUCCACAUUGAAAAUCAGGUUUAUUGUCAAAAUUUACAGACUUUCAGCUGUUUGCAAGGAAAGUAAAACAAGGAUUAGUUAGAUUAAAAACAAAAGAAGGAAGGUAUGUAGAAGAAGAUAAAGGUCUAGCUGAUUGCCUCAGUAAAUAUUUUUGUUGAAUAUUUACAGCUGAAAAUGAAGCAGAGGGACUUCAGUUAAGAAAAAGGACAAAUGGGUAAUUUGUUAGAUGUGAGUUUACAGAGGAAGAGGUUCUAUUUCAACUGUCAAAAGUAAAGACAAAUUAGUCGAUGAGGCCUGAUGGAAUACACCCAAAGUUAUUAAAAUAAUUUAGUGGUGUACUAGCAAAACCAUUUACGGAUUUAUUUAACCAAUCAUUUUUAACAGGAGUAGUCCCAGAAGACUGGAAAUUAGUGAAUGUUGUACCCAUUCACAAGAAAGGUAGUAGGGAGGAGUCGGACAACUUUAGGCCAAUAAACCUUACUUCAGUAGUGGGGAAAGUGAUGGAAAUCAUGUUUAAGGAUAGGAUUGUUGAACAUCUAAAAUCACUUCAGCUUUCAUGAUCAGACACAACAUGGGUUUACUUCAGGGAGAUCAUGCCAAACUAAUCUUAUAGAUUUUUUUGAUUGGAUAACUAAAAUAAUAGAUCAGUGGUGCAGUAGACAUUGCUUACCUAGAUUUUAGUAAGGCUUUUGACACUGUUCUCAUAGAAGGCUCAUUAAUAAACUGCAAUCUUUAAGUUUGGAUUCCAAUAUUGUUGAAUGGGUUAGGCAGUGGCUGAAUGACAGGCAACAAAGGGUUGUAGUAAAUGGACUAUAUUCAAAGCAAGGUCUAGUUACCAGUGGGGUGCCUCAGGUAUCUGUACUUGGACCCAUUCUCUUUAAUAGUUUUAUUAGUGAUAUUGCAGAAGGUCUUGAUGGUAAGGUAUGUAUUUUUGCUGAUGAUACUCAAAUUUGCAACAGGGUUGAUGUCCAGGAGGGAUAAGCUAAGUGGCACAUUAUUCGGGUAAAUUAGAAAAAUGACCAGAGCUGUGGCAACUGACAUUUAAUGUGGAUAAGUGCAAGAUAAUGCAUCGUGGGUGUAAAAAGCCAAGGGUAGAGUACAGAAUAUUUGAUACCCUACUAACCUCAAUAUCUGAGGAAAGGGUUUUAGGAGUAAUUAUUUCAGAUGACUGAAAGGUGGCAGAAAAUAUAAUAGAGCAGCAGGAAAUGCUAGCAGAAUGCUUGGUUGUAUAGGGAUAGGCAUCAGCAGUAGAGAGAGAGAAGUGCUCAUGCCAUUGUACAGAACACUGGUGAGACCUCACUUAGAGUAUUGUAUGCAGUACUGGAGACCAUAUCUUUAGAAGGAUAUUGAUACUUUGGAAAGAGUUCAGAGAAGGGCUACUAAACUGGUUCAUGGAUUGCAAGAUAACGCUUACAAGGAUAACAUGUAUAGCUUGGAGGAAAGAUGAGACAGAGGGGAUAUGAUAGAAACAUUUAAAUACAUAAAGGGAAUCAACACAGUAAAGGAGGAGACUAUAUUUAAAAUAAGAAAAACUACCACAACAAGAGGACAUUAAAUUAGAGGGGCAAAGGUCUAAAAAUAAUUUCAGGAAGUAUUACUUUACUGAGAGGGUAGUGAACACAUUUAAUAGCCUUCCAGCUGAAUUGGUAGAGGUUAACACAGUGAGUGAGUUUAAGCAUGCGUGGGAUAGUCACGAGGCUAUAAUAGACUUAAAAUAAGGGCAGGGACUAAUUAAGAGCAUUUCAAAAAUUGGGGAGAAUAGAUGGGCGGAAUGGUUCUUAUCUGCCAUCACAUUCUAUGUUUCUAUGUUUCUAGGUAAAGCAAUUGUAAUAGGUCAACACAAUGAAUGCUUCAAGCUGUUUCCCCAAAGUCAAUUGCAACUUCUCCUGAUCAGAAUACCUCACAACAGCACAAAUAUGCAAAUAGGUCUUGUCUCAAGCACACCAGACGCAACUAAUCAAGGGCUUCAUUAGUUGUGCUUAAGCUUUCAUUUCUAUACUGGAGAAUACUGGAGAAUAUCAUGCUGCAAUUGAUGAUAAAUACACCCACUCCUGAUACCAAAGCAACCCACUGACCUGGGACACCCACCCUCAAAAGACCCAAAGCACCCACAUAUCCACAUGCAGGGAUCAUGCCGCCCAGGCAUAUACUUCUUGAGCUAAUCAUAGGCUCCAGAAAAUAGUUCGUGUUUUUACUAUAUUCACUAGUCUACGAACCUGUUAGCACCCUGAAGGUGCUUCUUCCCUACACCCCUUUCCAGUAUUACCUAUUCUACGGCCAGAAAGAAGAGACUCUGGUUUGGGAAGUAUCAGCUGCCAAAUUUAUACAAAACAAGCACCAGAAAUCCUCCUAUCAUUUAUGCACAGUGUGCUGUGCCAGAAGUCCCUUUCUCCCACACAUUAUAUAUCCUUGAAAAGCUCAUAGCUCAUCAUCAAGCACCCUCACUGUCUAAAUAGUGCCAUGAUUGCAGAAUCCACACCCGAGCUAUAGCCUGCUUAAGAUUGUGCAGCCUGUUACCAGGUUGCAGCAAUUUAACGAUCUGGCGAGGAGUUCCAGGUGUGCGGCGGCUUAGAGAUUAGGGAUCUAACAUAAGGGAUUUCCAGACCUUUAGGGAAGGCAUCAAUCUCAAGCCCCAGGUAUCCUCCAAUGCCUCUUUGCCUCCCCAAUCUCCUCUCUAAAUAGUGCAUCCUACACACUCAUGGGCUUCAGAUGGGGAUAUUGGGAUUUGUGGGGGUUACCAAAAUUGAUAUUUAGAAUAGCUAAGAGAAUUGAACAUUAGAGUUGGCAAAACUUACAUAGACAAAUGCAAGAAUUGUCAAAGAAUAGACCGAAGUCAAGAAUUACAGCAGGACAACGGGACAGUGAGACGGCCAAAGUCGUGUUUGGAAACAUCAAAAUAGUCGUUAAGCAAGCCUAGAAUAAAAUUUGAGAAAAAAACUAACAGAAUCAAAACGUACUCUCUGACUACUAGAGACCAUGACAAGGCAAAUGUCUAAUAAUGGACUGACAAUAUACAGGCAUUAGAUCAGAAGUCGUCUUUCUUCCUAAGUAUUCUGUUCUACAGCCCCACAAAAGUCAACUAAAAAUCCAUUACAUCCUAAUGCUAUUAUUAAAAAUACAAGAAUGCCACAAAUAACAAAAGAAAAUAAAGAAAUUGCAUAAUAAGUAAUCCAUCUUCACUCAGGCCUUCCCACAACUGCAACCAACCAAUCAGAAUGCUCUGACAGGCAAGUUUUGUCUCUCAUGCUGGAUGAAGAUGGAUUACUUUUGUGGAUCAGUUUUAAUUUUUUCCUCAGUUUUUUUUUUUUUGAUUCAGGACUUUUUAAAACUUUUACUGGUAGUGUUGAGAUGUAAAGGAUUUUUAUGUUGGGGUUGAAGAAAAGUAUAAUUUUUUUUUACGCUAAAAAACAAACACUUGUAAAAACACCCAGUGCAAAGAAAAAAUAAUGACAGUAUUUUUCGCUCUAUAAAUUUUUUCACCUCAAAAGUAAGUGGAAAUGUAUGUGCGUCUUAUAGAGCAAAUGUGUAAGUUGACUUACCUGUAUUGUAGCGUGGGCCGGCAGAACAGUGCGCACCGCGGUACAGGAACUUAAAUUUCAGUUUCCUGUUUCCGGACGGAAUGAAAGGAAGUGCGCACUCAGUACAGCAAACUGAAAUCUGUUCCGGUCGGUCACACUACAAUACAGGUACAAGUAAACCUACCGGGGACCAAGGGGGGAAGAGAGGGGCAAUAAGGGACACUAUGGGAGGGGAGGGGGGAGGAGAUCACUAUGGGACAAGGAGAGGGGGGAACACUAUGGGAUGAGGGGAGGGGGGAGAACACUAUUGGACAAGGGGAGGGGGGGUUAAAGAUCCCUAUGGGACAGGGGAGUGAGGUUAAAGAUCACUAUAGGACAGGAGAGCGGGGUUAAAGAUCACUAUGGGACAGGAGAGGGGAGUGGGUGGUAAGAAACACUAUGAGAGUUUGUUCAGAAUAUUUUUUUUCUGGGUUUCCACCUCUAAAAACUAGGUGCGUCUUAUGGUGUGGUGCGUCUUAUGGAGCGAAAAAUACGGUAACACAUUUCCUGAAAUGUAUAAAUAUCCUAGGACUUCUUUAAAUCCUCCAAAUAUCAAACAACAGGGGAGAUAAAUGUGAAAAACUUAAAAGAGCAUAUAAUGAUAUUUUACAUAUUUAUCUCCCCUGUUGUGUGUAUGUUUUUUACAGGUAUUAGAUGUAUUGCCCCCCCCCCUGAGGGGAGUAGGUGGGGCUUUUUUAUUAGGAAUUAGCUAGGUGCUCUGGCACCUCUAGCCAGAGCACCUAUAGGGGGAUUACCCCUUACCCCUUACUUGGCACUAUCAAUAGCAUGUCCAUUCCCAUAGGCGUGAGCAGCCUAUUGUAUAAGGGUGUGCACCCUAAAGCAGAAACACACACACCGCGUAUAUAUAUAUAUAUAUAUAUAUAUAUAUAUAUAUAUAUAUACAUAUAUAUAUAUAUAUAUACACAUACAUACACACACACUGCUGUGUGUGUGAGGGUGCUGUGUGUGAAGGCGCUGUGUGUGUGAAGGCGCUGUGUGUGAAGGUGCUGUGUGUGUGUGCGGGCACUGUGUGUGUGAAGGUGCUGUGUGUGUGUGAAGGUGCUGUGUGUGUAAGGGAGCUGUGUGUGUGAGGGUGCUGUUAGUGUGUGUAUGUGUAAGGGUGCUGUGUGUGUAACUGUGCUAUUAGUGUGUGUGAGGGUGCUGUGUGUAAGGGUGCUGCUAGUGUGUGCUGUGUGUGUGUGUAUGUGUGAGGGUGCUGUGUGUGUAAGGGUGUUGUUAGUGUGAGGGUGCUGUUAGUGUGUGUGUAAGGGUGUUGUUAGUGUGUGCUGUGUGUGUGUGUAAGGGUGCUGUGUGUGUGAGGGUGCUGUGUGUGUGUAUGUGUGAGGGUGCUGUGUGUGUAAGGGUGUUGUUAGUAUGAGGGUACUGUUAGUGUGUGUGUGUGUGUAAGGGUGUUGUUAGUGUGUGCUGUGUGUGUGUGGGUGCUGUGUGUAAGGGUGCUGUGUGCUGUGUGUGUGAGGGUGCUGUGUGUGUAAGGGUGCUGUUAGUGUGUGCUGUGUGUGUAAGGGUGCUGUGUGUGUGAGGGUGCUGUUAGUGUGUGUAUGUGUAAGGGUGCUGUGUGUGUAAGGGUGCUGUUAGUGUGUGCUGUGUGAGAGGGUGCUGUGUGUAAGGGUGCUGUUUGUGUGUGCUGUGUGUGUAUGUGUGAGGGUGCUGUGUGUGAAAGGGUGUUGUUAGUGUGAGGGUGCUGUUAGUGUGUGUGUAAGGGUGUUGUUAGUGUGUGCUGUGUGUGUGUAAGGGUGCUGUGUGUGUGUGAGGGUGCUGUGUGUAAGGGUGCUGUUAGUAUGAGGGUGCUGUUAGUGUGUGUGUGUGUAAGGGUGUUGUUAGUGUGUGCUGUGUGUGUGAGGGUGCUGUGUGUAAGGGUGCUGUUAGUGUGUGCUGUGUGUGUGUGUAUGUGUGAGGAUGCUGUGUGUGUAAGGGUGUUGUUAGUGUGAGGGUGCGGUUAGUGUGUGUGCUGUGUGUGUAAGGGUGAUGUAUAUGUGUGUGCUGUAUGUUUGUGUGUAAUGUGUGGGGCGUGGGGGCCAUUUAGUUAAUAUCCCCCUCCCUUCUUACCAAAUGUAGGGAAGGGGGACCGUGCUCCAGCCUUCCCUGGUGGUCCAGUGGAGAGUGAACUCUAGCCUGUGGGGCUAGAGUUCACUCUCGCGAGAUCUGCGGCAACGCUCCGACCGCGCGAGAGGAACCCGGCGGAGCUGCUGACAACAGCUCCUUGGGCACCCCCCGUGCGCACGCCUAUGCUGUCCCCUAUUAUGAGAUUUAACCAUGGGUGGAAGGGGUGCACAAUAGCAUGUCCUGUUGUCCACAAGUGGUGGUAUCGGAGGAACCUGUGGUAGGUCUCCCCAAAGUAUUUUACAGGCUCCAUGGUCAUUUCUAGCAACUGGGCAGCAAUAGCUUCCCAUUUGCAAGAUUUUAUUACAGUGAGCAACCACUGGCUCUUCACUGUUUUGCAAACAUUACUUCGCUUGCUGCAUGGCGAAUGGGGGCAUUUUUAUUUUAUUUUUUUAUAUAUUUUAAUGUGCUGGCUGGCUCAGAAACACUGGCCAGCCAUAAUAUGGUUAACCCUUGCUUUGUUGAUAUAUUGUUAACUAUUUGUCUGCUGGCUGAAAAAAAGCAAAACUUAUGAUAAUAUGUGUUUGGCCCCGAUUUUAUUUAAAAACAUGCUUUGUAUAUAAUCCAGAUCCUAUGCGUUGUAUAGAGUUUGGAUGUGAAAAGCACUGAUUUUAAACCAGAAACUAAAAACAUCCGGCUGACUGGUGUGAUUUCGGUCAGGUUAUGCAAAUUCAUACCAGAAUUUGCUUUAGUAAAUAUGGUUGGAAUUUGGCAAUUUUAACAGAAUUUAUCCGUGAAAAAUCUUCCUCUGUUCUACUCAGUGAGUCCCUAGUGUUGCUGCAUCUGAUUGUCAGUCAAUGAGAGCAAGUGUCCCAUUCUGAUUUAAAUAUAGCUUAAGCCAUUCAGUAUAUCUCUGGCUGACUCUGUGUUCCCUGUGAUGCCGGUUGUCAUUAUGUGCUUGUUGGUACAUUUGUCAGUGGUUUCUGUCUGUAUCCCUCAGGGGCUCCAGUUCUAAAUGAAUGUAAUACCAAGAGUGAAUGGCAUGAGGUGGGGUAAUAACCCCUGCAGAAUCAGAAGAGAAAUUCUGUGCUAGUGCAGUUUGCAGCACAGCUGAUGGUCUGAUUUCCUAAACGAGAGCUGACAAGGCUAUCAGUUUGCUUUCAUCACAACAGAUCAAGCUGCUGACGUGGGUUGAGGCAAUACAGCUACAGAAAUUAAAGGGAAACUCCAGUGCCAGGAAAACAAUCUGUUUUCCUGGCACUGCAGGUUCCCCUCCCUCCCACCCCCCUAUCCCCGGUUGCUGAAGGGGUAAAAACCCCUUCUCCCUCGGCCGGUGGGCGAGGCUGAUCCCGCCCACCAACCGGGGAGACCUAAUGCGCAUGAGCAGCAAUGCUGCGCAUGCGCAUUAGCGCUCCCCAUAGGAAAGCAUUGAAAAUGCAUUUCAAUGCUUUCCUAUGGGGAAAUGAGCGACGCUGGAGGUGCUAGGAACCAGGAAGUGCCCUCUAGUGGCUAGACAGCCACUAGAGGUGGAGUUAACCCCGCAAGGUAAUUAUUGCAGUUUAUAAAAAACUGCAAUAGUUACACUUGCAGGGUUAAGAGUAGUGCGAGUUAGCACCCAGACCACUCCAAUGGGCAGAAGUGGUCUGGUUGCCUGGAGUGUCCCUUUAAGGGCAGGUUCUUUAGGUAUGGGGUCCUAUGGUGGGGACUGCAGCAUUGAUUUGUAAGAGCUUGGGAGGAAUGAACAGCUGUCCGGGGAAAAAUAUGGGCAUACACCUCUAAAUAGUGGGAAGGUUUUAUCUUUGUAAAGCUAAAAUGACAAGUUAACUUCUAAUGCAUCGAACUGGAAAAAACUUCUAUUCCAUGCACUAAAGUCUAUUUAAUAGUAUUGUGUAUGUUGUUUUAAAAAAUAUCUCAUAUGUAAGGAAACGCUAAGGGAUUAUUCCUGAGAUUGCACAUUGUAGUGAUUUUUUAAAAUUCUUUACUUAUAAAGGUUUUUAGUUGAUACAGGAAAACAAGCCACAGUUUACAAAAAUUAGCAAGUAGAAAGUACCAGUUGGUCAUAAAUACAGUGCAAGAAGGAAGCUAAAUAUUUAGCACAUUUGAGAAUUACCAACUUUUGUAGUAUCGACCGUGGGUAGAGUGAGUGUGUGGGUACUGGACUGAAUAGAUAGUGCAUAUAUUUCGUAAUUUAACAAAUUGUCCAGUUAUUUGGGUGUCUGUUGAAUGCCAUUUUGCAAAACUAUGAGUUAUCUCCCAAAUAAGUGAAUCCAGUUGAGCAGUGCAUAACGAAUUAGGAGCCAUCUUCAGUUUGGUAUCUGCUUGCCAACUGAGAUUGUGGUUGGUGAUAAUCUCUGUGAGAGGGAGUGUGUGAGUGUUGGCUCAAGGAAAUGAAAGAGGAGGAAAGAAGAAAGGAACGAGAAAAAAACAACGUGUAGAGCGUGUGGAAUGUCUGUAACCAUCAACGCUGUGACCAGGGGAAUUGCUAUGGUUAAGAGUAUUAGUCCCCUUUUUGGAAGGAGACAGGUUAGGAGUAAUGAUUAGGGAGUGUAUGUCAGGGUGGUCACAAAAAUCUUUAGUCAGUGGUUGGUGGAUGUAACAAUGGCUGUUGAAAGAGAGCAUUAGGAAUAAUAACUAAGGCAGGCCAGCUCUCCCCAGCGCCCAGCCCCCCAACCAGGAAAGGGUGCAAGGAAGUGGGAAGGAUACGGCUGUGAAGAAGAGAUAAAAAAGGGGGGGAUAGGAGGGGAGGGACAUAAAGAAGGAAUAAGUGUUUACUGUGAGUAGUUUGCCAUCCAAGAAAAACGUUCGGUGGGUUUGUAGUUGAAGCUAUCGGAUGAGGAAUCAUAUGUGUGAGAUGCAGUGAAAUAUUGAACUGAAUUGACAACAAAAUUGCAAAAUUUAGGCUAAAAUACACAAAAAGAGACUCACAGUUUAGUGAAUCAACCCUUAAGGACAACUUGCUCCGACGGUCACAGGGGAAGUGUAGCAAACAUAUUGUAUCCUGAUUGAGUUGCAAUGGUUAUUCAUUGGAAAAUUAGCUUUUUUGCCUAAUUUGCAAUAUUUAAACACUUGUUGGUGGUCAGUGUCAGUUGCGACAUACAUUAGUAGACAUAAAAGACAGGAUUGGACCAUAGAAAUGUUCUGGUAUUUUUUUAGUCACAAAAAUGUAUUCUGAAAUUUCAGAAGCUGGAUGCAGGCAGAGGGGAGCUGAGACAGGUGCUGGAGGCAACUUAUUUUUCGAACGGUUUAGCCCCUGAAGUUAAGAAUGUGCCUGGAGGCCUCCUGGCACCAUCACACACAACUUUAUUUAGAUGAAGUUGUUUUGGUGCCUUGAGUGUUCCUUUAACAGCUGGGUUUUACAAACAUGCAUGGAAAUAAGAAAAAAUGGGAAAUAAGGGCUGCUCCAGAGAGACUUUAUAUAAAACAAUAAUAACAGUCCAAAUAAAAAGAGUCUUAUCUAAAAUGCUCUUAUUGGAGUCACAGAGUCUAUAAGGUGCUUGGUCAGGAACAAUGUCCUCGCUGUCCUCAUCCGUGUAGAUCCGUUCAUAUGCAAGAGAUAAAUCAAAUAGAGAACCAAAUAGUGCAAUAAGUCCAAUAAUAAAAUAAAUAAAAUAUAAAAGGCUGGUAUAAAACUCACAUGUACAAGAGCUAUAGCUAGCUCUAGAGUAAGAGGAGUAUAGCGGUACAAUCCACGCUUAUGGGAUAUGGGGUAAACUUCCUCCGUCAAUGUUAUGUUCGACACUCAAAUAAAAAGAGACAACCAAUAGUGCUCACUGGAUAAAAUAAUGGAAAUAAAAUAUAUAAAAUGGUACUCACAAGGAAGGAGCAGACCAACUGCUCCUUAAAGAUAGCGCUGGUGGUAUGAUCCCCACCUAGGAUUACUUGGAGUCCAGGGUAAUAAAAAAUGGCAGGUAAAAAAACUAUCUAAAGUGUAUGAAAAGAUAAAUUGCACAAGUAAAAAGUGACCAAAUAAUUUUUAAUAUAUAAAAAUACACAAUAUAAAAUAUCAACAAACGCGUUUCACCAAUAUGGCUUUAUCAAUAUGGAAUAAGGACGUGAUACCUGGCAAGAAAAGUUUAAAUAGCAGUUCAAAUCUUUGGAAUUGGCGCCAAAAUUAGGAACAGCCAAUCAGAACCUUAGUUGUAAACAGUCAAGUUUAAACAUAUAAAAACUAAAUUUUCUUAGUAAAUAUACAAUAUGAUAGGCUAUAUAUAGACCUUGUUUGGCUAUAAAACAUUAAAAACAAAGAUUAUUUUGAGUAGAAAUUACUUUCCAAUGCGGUCACAUGACCGGCAUGGUAACCGCAUGGUAUACUGGAAUAUAUCUACUAGACGUCAGCGCGCACUAGGCAACCGCCGACUUCAAAACCAGUAGGUGGAGAUUAAACGUCAGCACGCAUAUAGUUGCGGCUGAAGUCAGAAAAAAAGGGGCGUGUGUCUAUAUGACGACGGCAUGCGCAGAGCUGCGGCCAUCGUCAAGGAAAGUAGGCUGGAUAUAAAAGCCGACGGCACGCACAAAGCUGCGGCCGUCGUCAUGGAGACAAGACAAACUAAGAGGAAAGAAUAUAAAACGUCGGCACGCACUGAAUUGCGGCCGACGUUUGAAUAUGGGAGUGUGCCUGACACACUGAAAAGUGUCAUCAGCCAUGGUACCAUAUUUAACCUAUUAUAACUGCUAGGGGAGGGGUAAUAAUAAGAACAGUUUAUAAAAAGCACAUAGCCCAUCAUAUAAUUAUGACAAUCAGUAAGAUAAUAAUAACAAUAAUAGGUAUUGAAUAUAAACAAUAUAAGAACAUGAAUACUAUUAAAAUAUAAAUUAGAAAAUGAUAAUAAAUAUUUAUAAAAAAUUGAACAAAUCAAAAUCAGCAUUUAAACCGUGGGGUAUAAGAGUCUUGACUUUAUACACCCAUUCCAUUUCAGUUUUACCUAAAAUGUUUUUAAUAUUUCCGCCCCUCCAUGGAAUAGUACUUUUUUUUUUUAUUCCAAUACAUUUAAGCAUUCUUGGGUCCUUGUUAUGUUUGAUAAAAUGUUUGAAUACUGAGUGGUUUAAGUAUCCAUUUUUAAAGUUUCUGCAAUGUUCGCUUAAUCGCGUUUUUAAGCACCUUGUAGUCAUUCCAACAUAUUGGAGGCCACUUGUGCAUUCAAGCAGAUGAAUAACAUUUUUCGUUGAACAAUUAAUCGUCAUUAAUUUUAUAAACCUUGUUUGUCAUUCUUGAAAUAAAUUGAGUUACUUUAUGAAGUACAGUGGGAUCAGUAGUUCUGCAAACUAUACAAAUUUUGCAUUUACAAAAACCUUUGAUUUGCGUAAAGAAGAAAAAUGGGGGUGCAUUUUUUAUUUCUAAAAUUCUUAGUUAAUAUUGAUUUAAAGUUUGGUGCUCCCCUAAAUACUAUAUUCGGACGUUCUGGUAUAAUUUUAUUAAGUGUUUCGUCUUGUUUCAGAAUAUGCCAGUGUUUUUUUAUAAUCUUUAUAAAAAAUUAAAAAAAAAUUAUAAUUAAAAAUAAUAGGUAAAGGCAUGGAUUUGUCUGUAUUUUUUGGUUUGUAUUUUAAAAGUUUGUUUCUAUCUUUUUUUGGAUAUUCCUAAUAGUAUCUGUGAGUUCUAUUUCAGGGUAGUUCUUCUCAAUGAAUUUGUUUUUUAAAAAGUCUGCUUGUUUAUUAAAAUUGCUUAUUUCUGAACAGUUUCUCAGAAGUCUUAAUAUUUGGCUCUUCAGAGCACUGUCAAGCCAGGGUUGAUAGUGGCAGCUAGUUUUAUCUAUAGCAGUGUUCACACAUACUUUUUUUUAAAAACGUCUUAGUAUGUAUUUGUCCAUUUUUUAUAAAAAUAUUAAGAUCUAAGAAGUUGAUUUGUUCCCUGCUAUAUUCGUAAGUUAAAGUGAUACCUCUGUUAUUUAUAUUAAGAUUGUUAAUAAAAGAAUUAAGAUCAUCUUCAGAGCCUUCCCAAAUAAAAAAAGAUCAUCAAUAAAUCUAAAAAAUGAGACUAGGUUUGCUCUCCAGACGUGGUUGUUAAAAAUAGCUUCAGACUCCCAGUCAGCCAUAAAUAGAUUGGCGUAGCUGGGAGCAAACCUAGUUCCCAUAGCAUUCCCUCUUUAUUGGAGAUAGAAAGAAUUUAAAAAACAAAAAUAAUUAUUUUCUAAAAUGAUGUUAAUACCUUCUAAUGUAAAAUCAAUUUGUAUGCUGGAAAUUUUUCCUUCUUUUGUUAAAAUAUCUUUAAUAGAUUGACAACCUAUAUUAUGAGGUAUAAUUGUAUAUAGUGACUGGACGUCACAUGUGACUAAUAUAAAAUUGGGUUUCCAUAUAAAAUUGUUUAAACAUUUUAAGAGAGCCAUGGAGUCUUGAAGGUAAGAUCUCAUAAGUUUAACAGAGGGUUGAAGGAGGGUGUCUAUGUUUUGAGAGAGAUUACAUAGGAGGAAACCUAUGCCAAACACAAUUGGUCUCCCUGGUGGUAGGUUUUAAUUUUUAUGGAUUUUAGGGAGAAAAUAUAUGACGGGUAUUACAGGAAAUUUUUUAUUUAAAAAGUUAAAUUCGGGUUUAUUUAAAAUCCCCAGAUUUAAGCCUUUAUUUAAAAAUUGGGUUAAAAUUGCUUGUAUUUGUGAUGCUGGGUCUGAUAAAAGAUGUUUUCAUACACAUCUGUUUCAUUUAAUUGUCUGUGUGCCUCUUCUAUAUACAACUGGCUGGAUUGUAUAACUAUUCCUCCUCCUUUAUCAGCUGGCUUGAUUACAAUAUUUUUUAUCUUCUUGGGGUUCCUUUAGUGCCAAUCUCUCUGUAUGUGUGAGAUUCUGAACAUAGUGAGGGGGGCAGACUUAAAAUGAGCAGGGUAAAAUGUGGAUUUCUCUCGGAGGUGUGUAUUAAUUAUGUGAUGAUUGUUUGGGAGUGUGUGAGGGGAUAAAAUCUGAUUUGAAAUAGGAUUUUCUUCACUUUUGUCUAUAAAAAAUCUUUUAAGAGUGGCUUUCCGGACAAAUUUAUUAACAUCAAGGAAGGCUUCAAAAGGUUUAAAAGAGUUAGUUGGAACAAAUUUAAGACCUUUACUUAAAACUGAUAUUUGUGCACUAGUUAAGAUUUUUUGUGAAAGGUUAAAAAUGCCACUGUUAGUGUUAUAUUGAGUAGUUAUUAUCUUUCUAGUCUUUCUCUUUUGCUCACGUCUGCCACUUCUUCUUCCUCUAAAUUUAGAAUCCUUUUUUGUGACCGUGAGGGGUGUGGUGUCUGGACUAGUGUAGUGGGGUGAGUUCUGAUUUCUAAAAAAUGAUCUUCAUUUUCGAAUUCUGAGUCUAGUGAUAGUAGUUGAUAUCUAUUUUGGUGAUUAGGAAUCGUUGGUGAUUUGAAGUAAUUAGAAUAUUCUUUGUGAUCAUUGAUAUAUCUUGAUCUUUGUGGUUUAGGGGAUAGGUAUUUGUUUUGGAGUCCUGAUAUGUUGUGAUAUGUUGGUGAUAAUGGGGUUUUGUGAUGAGUUCUGUAUGAGUUAUUAUCCGUUGGGGAAAUGGGCGGUAUUGGUUGGUAUUAGUAUAGUGUGGUCUUUGUGGGGGGCCACGAUGGUUUGUGCCCUUUAUGUUUUGCUCUUUUUUCUUGUUUUAGGCAUGGAAAUAAGCCCACUGACUAUUAGUUCUUUCUUAAAUUCUUCCUUGUUUGGAUGAAAUGUAUACCAGAGAAAUAGAAUUCUCACUGCUUCUACAUGUCUACUGCAGGUAUGUGAUUAGUUUAGAAACAGCUAUAGAAUGUGAAAGCAAGUUAUAUAAUUUUACAUAGUUACAUAGCUGAAAAAAAGACAUGCGUCCAUCAAGUUCAGCCAUCUCACAUCUGUAUUUGCUGUUGGUCAAAAGAAUGCAAAAAAACACAGUCUGAAGAACUUCCAAGUUUGCAACAAACUUGCAAAAACGAUCCUUUUUGACCAUGUAGUGACAGUUUGAUAUUUCCUUGGAUCAAUAAGCUAUUACCCCACUAAUAAAAAGUUAUAUCCCUGUAUGUUAUGCUUUUGCAAGUAUUUAUCCAAUUGCUGUCUAAUCAUCUAUAUAGACUCUGAUAAAACCACCUCUUCAGACAGAGAAUUCCACCUCUUCAGACAGAGAAUAUUUUCUCUGCCUUAGACUAAAUCUCCUUUCUUCCAUACUGAGUGACCAUGUGUCCUAUUUAUCGUCCUGUUUAUGAACACAUUUCCAUACAAUGGUUUGUGUUGGCCCAGAACAUAUUUGUAUAAUGUUUCCAUAACUGCUCCGAGGCACCGUUUUACCAAACUAAAGAGAUUUAAAUUUGUUAACCUUCUUCAUAACUAAAAUGUUUGAUUCCUUUUAUCAAUUUUAUAGCCCACCUUUGCACUUUCUCUAGCGCCAUAAUAUCCUUCUUUAGAACAUUUGCCUAAAAUUGCACAGCAUAUUAAAGGUGUGUGUAGCAGAGCUCUCUGUACCCUGGCUGGGUACCUCCGCCAAGGACCACUUCCUAUCUGGAACAGGGGAAAACCUCAGCGCUGCUCCCCCAAUUCCCGUGGCUUAACUGGGUCCUCCUGGAGCCUCUUUGUCCUGGAGCAGGAUAGGGUACUAACUCUAUUCCCUCCCAGGGACUGGAUGACACACAGUCCUGGGAACUCUAGUCCUUACAAGGACUUUUCCCGCCGAAUGCUCCAUGAGAUGGAACAAGGUGUUAAGCAGUGAUUAUAGCCCUUCCCCUCCCAGUAACUAGACUACACAUAGCUCUGGGAGUACAACUGGUUUAAUGCAUCCAAACACAGCCUUUUUAUACACAGAACCCAGCAGGAGGUCUCCAUUGUCUUCAUCAAAAGCCCCACCUAGGAAUCUCUGGGCCAGGGAAAUAAUUGCGUUGAAGACUGGUAAGCUAAUUAUUUCCCAGGAACAGAGAGGCAAACAAACAUAAAAAUACCCAAAAACAUAAUAAAAACAUAAAAUGACCCCACAAAUAAUACCAUAGUCGGUGGGCAGAAGGCCGGCUUCUACACUCCUCCAGGAGUCCGUGGCAAACGUACGUGGGAAGGAGCAUUUGUCACAGUGUGGUCUUACCAGUGAUCUAUAAAGAGGCAAAAUUAUAUUUUCUUUUGAGAAUGAAUGACCCUAUUUAUACAUGAUAAUAUCUUAUUCGCCUUAGAGACUGCCGAUUGACAUUGCAUAUUGUUGCCUAUUAUGUUGUCUAUGACAAUUCCCAAAUUCUUCUCAUGUGUUAUCCCUAAUUCUGCCUGUGCUUGUUUGUGCAUGCUUGACCCCAGAAUGCAAUCACUUGCAUAUCUCUUGCCAUAUAAUCCUCCUUAAUAUAUACUGAGUAAAAAUAGUUAUUUGAAAUGUCUGCCCUUUCCUGGUCUUCAUUAACUAACACAAUCAUCUCUGUUUUCAUUGUACCUACAUUUUCAUGUUUGUUUUUUUAGAAUGUGUGUUCUUACAAAUGUUUUGGUGUUAGUUUUGCUCUCUCUGGCUAUUAAUUUUUCAUUUUCUAGUUUAGCACAUCAAAUUGCCUUUUUGCAUGCACUAUUGGCUUGCUUAUAUCUUAUAUACAAUGCCUCUGAUUGGCCGAUCUAAAUGCUUUGAAUGCCUUUUUCUUAUUUUGAAUAUCUUUGUUUACUUUCCCACUAUGCCACAUUGGUUUCAAUUUGUUUCCUUUAUUUUUAUUACACAAUGGUACAUACUAAGAAAUUUACUUUUCUAGUAUUUGUUUGAAGAUAUUCCAUUUAUCCUCAGUGGGUUUUUUUUUUACUAAAGAAUUUAUGCAAGUCAAUAUCUUGAUCUUGGGUAAAGCUGUCCUUAUUUUUCUUGGGUAAAGCUGCCCUUAUUUUAUUGAAAUUUGACUUUUUAAAAUGAUAUAUUUUAGUAUACCCUAUGUGCUUUUACAUCGAAGAACUGCUAAAAAAAUGUUUAAAUGUGAUAAUUUGCUAAAAAAAAAAAAAGACAAUUAAAAAUACCAUUCAGCCAGUCCUGCUCCUCUCAAUGACUUGGAUGUCAAUGUGAAUGCUGUGUCUAUGCAGCUUAGCAGUCAGUUUAUCUAUGAAAAUACAAACUGUAGGAAUGUAUGGGGGUUUGUGCUAUUGUUUUAAUUUGCUUUAAUUGUCCCAUAAAUGCCGAUGCUAAACAGCAUUUAGAGAAAAAUAAUAAUAAGUAACUCAACCACCCACUUCUUUCUCAAGUCUUUUUUUCCAGCUGAUAAUGGGAAUCAGUUAGCCUUGUGAGGAUAGCUAACUCUUAAUGCUGGAAAACAAACAGAAAUAGCAUGAAGAGGAAGAAGCAAAUUAAAGCAUACAAUAUACUAUAGAAAAAAGAGAGAAAUAAAAAUUGUGUGCACAAAGAAGCAUAUUCUAAUUAAAAAAUGAGCCAGAAAUGUGUUCCAAUGUCAUGUUUUGGAAGUAUUCUCUAUACUGUGUCCUCCAAUCGAUGCUGUCUUCCUGAGAGAAUACAGGUUGUCUUCAUCUGUAAAAAAUCUCAGCAUGUGCCAUUCAUUGCACAUGAAAGUCAAAUGGUAUGAAACCCGAGCUAGUGUGGGCAUUUUUAAUGAACUAUAACAAAAUGUUUAAAAGUCAUUAUAUAUUCAGUAUUUGUUGUUUCUCUUUCCAGAAACAUGAAAAUCGAAGAAGAAAUAGUACGGAGGGAAACACUUUUAUCAGGACUGAGACAUCAAUGACAAAGAGGGCAGUUGGUGACAAACCAUUUUAAGUUGUACUAAAUAAAGCCAACAAAACAAGGGUUCAAUAAUCUCUCUGAAACUAAUGAUGCACAACUUGCUACUCUUCAAGAACUUAAUUCUGAGAAGCAUUAAAAAGUCUCAAUAGAAAACAUUUGUGGAUUCUUCAGAAUAAAGACAUCUUCACACUUAACAUUGUGUGUGAGGAGAAGAUGCAUCUUUGUAGCUGAUGUCUGCAUUUCUGGAAUCAUGGUGGUUUGGCUUUAAUAUGAUCAAAAUGUGACCUUAAUUUGUCUUGUGUGAGAUAUAUAUUGGUCAUUCAUACAUACAAAGCUUGCAAGAAACAUCUCAGCUUUAUUCUGAUCUACUCAAACAGGCAAAGUAGGAACUUAUCAGAACUAACUCAAGAGAUGACUGAAGCCUAUUUCAAAUACCGUGGAAACCGAACUGUUUACAGCCAGCAAUUCCCAACAGUCGCUACAGAAGCCACAGCCACGACUACAGACAAAUAUUCCAAUCUGUAUAUGUACGUAGGGUUAUUCUUAGGUCUCCUUGCAGUUCUUUUAGUUCUUCUGUUUACAAUGCUCCUAAGACUUAAACAUGUCAUUUCUCCUAUUACCCCCAAUACUGAGAGCACUGACACCAUGCCACAGUUUACUGAUGUUGAAAUGCAAGGCAGAUCUCCUACCCCAUAAUAAAAUAUCACAGAAAGGAUUAAUUAUGUAAUCUUAAUCUUGCAAACAUGUAUUAUACAAGUCACAAGCUAGAAUCCACAGAAUUUUUAUGGUUUGAACAAGGAACAGUAACUUUUGUACAUUAAAAAAAAAUGUUUCUUAUUACAGGAUUAUCUGAAAUGUUAGUUUUGAGAAAUUCUAAGGACUGGACCACUGUAAAAAUAUUAGUUAAUGACCUGCAGAGCUGUUGCAACUCUAAUGUUCAAUGUAUGCAAAAAAGGUUUUUGUUUAAGGUGAUAAUUUUAUGUUUAGUUCGGGUAUGUCAUAACUGUAAUCCGAGACUUGGAUUAGAGCCAUUUGCUGCAUCUUUUUGGUGAUGUAGUCAAGAGAUCACAAUGAUAAUAUCAUCAACAAUGAACACAUCGUAAUGUUCAGCUACAACGUAGCUAGAUUUUGAUUUAUCCUUGGAGAACACCACCGAGAUAGUCUAAAGGGCUAAGUGGUCAGUAGAGUUGGAGGCACAGUUUCCAUGGCAAUAAAUAACUGAGCACAAAUCACAAAUUCUGCACAAUAUGUACUGCACACUCACUGUGUUUAUCAGUAACAUCACAUUGUCUGCAAAGUAGUUUAACAAAUCAUACAUUUUAAAAACCUAAGUCUGACAGCAGAUGGCCUUUGAUUAGAAAAAAAACAAAAAAAUCUGUUUUUUUUAUUCACCACCAUAUGCCUCUUGUGUUCUCAUGUCAGAUUGAGUUGUGUUCUAAUGCAAGACAGCAGGUUAUAGAAACUAUGAAAGGGGAGAAUGAACAAUGGAACAGCAAUAAUGAACCAUUAUUUAUGGUCGCCAGUGAUACCAUGAACUCAUAAUGAAAAAAGGUUAAUUAGUUUCUGGUUUGCUAACAGUUUAAAUGAAGACUCAUUAAAAUUUCAGUUCCAGUUCUUCAAAAUAAAUCUGCUUUGUUG